UUCCUAGAGAUGCUAGAAUUCUAGAGAAUUUUAUCUUUAAAAAUCUUUAAAAUAUUGCAUGAUGAGUUCUUGUAUGAUGAGAGUUUAAAUUCCUACCACAGCCAUAUAUACAUGCUUGCUAGACUUUGAGCCACAUAUUUACUAUACUGCUUAUAAGCAUUGAGUGUAGUCAAGCUGUGUAGACCCUUAGGAGCUUGUCAUGUGGUUAAAUCAAGAUUUCACUUGCACGUUCACUCACAUAUGCUGCUUCUACUCCGGAAGUACCAUCAACAUAUAUCCACCCAUUUCCAUCUCCAGAACCACCCAAAAAUAUUCUACUCCUGAUUCGGGAGAGAAUAGCCAAAAAUAUUUCUGUUUUUCCCUUGUGAAAUAAAUGCUCAAGUUAUCUUGUUACUACCACUUGCUAUAUUAUCUCAAGAGAUGAAUGCUCUGAAAAAAUGAAAAGAUACAAGGAAAUAAAAUGGAGCAAGUGCUCGGAACCUCGAAAGAAAAAGAAAAAAGUGAGACGAGAGGUAAAAAUGUACAAGUGUCCGACAGUAGAAUUAGGGGUACAAGAUACCCACCUGAGAGAAAAGAAAAAGAAGAGCAUCUCAUUCUCCUCAAAAAGUUUCAAAAAGCAAGGAAGGUAUGUAUCUCCUCAAAAGAGCAAAAGUAGAAUUAGACUUUCACCAUUGUUAUCACCAUCAUCACCAUACACCAUUCAUUCGCCACACAUGCACGUCUUGAUUUGGCUUAUUGAUUUGUUUCUUUGGAUCCAUGGUUUGACUAUACAAUAAAUGUCUUGUAAGUAUGUAUAUUUUAUCUCCCACCUAUGAGCUCCAGAUAUUAAAGCCUUGUUAGAGUAGGGUGAGAGAGAAGGCACUAUGCCUUAUACCACAAAUACCAUAUAUCUUGAGAGAAGGCAUAUACUAUCACUGCCUUGGUAAGGAUCCAGAAAUACCACAAAAGAGAGAUAUGAGAGAGUCAUACAAGGAAUCUUUGAGUUUUAUUUGAAAAUCUGCAAAAACUUCAGAGCUAUAGCUGAUCAAGAAUAAGAGACAUGGCACUUGACUAGACUGUUCUAUCUUUUAACUACUCAAGACAGAAGUGACGGUUACAAGUCCCAUGGUAAAAGGUAAAGUAAGUAAGUUUUAAGUCUUGACAGUUUACUCUAACUUAGAGAUGAGAUCUUAUUUAAAAGCAUGUGUUCCGUCAAUUUUUAAAGGUAUUGCAACAACUUCUGAUCCAUCGCUGAGAUUAUCAUUGCUCAGGGACGAGCAAGAGGUAAGCUUGGGGGAGUUUGUUGACGGUCCAUAAGUAUCAAAUUUAAUUAUCAAAUAAACAAAGAAAAGGAUCCAAAUGCAACCAACAUCGAGACUUAGGGUUUUAUCUGACAGAAUUCCAUGAGUUUUGGUGUUUGUCUAUUUCUGCAGGGGGUUAUCAGGAAAUACGGAAGAAAGGCCCACACGUUGGGAUUACAUAGAGAUAUCAACGUGCCGCGCAAUUAUCUACAUCUAGAAGACUCCAGAAGCCACGGGAAGGAAGUGGAGGCCGAACGGAGCCAGGCCCUGGGCACCCGCCCCCUAUUGGACUCCAAUCAGGACACUCUUUCGGGAAAGAUCUCCACCGACCUAAAGGAUCAAGGAUAACCGUUCAAUCAAUGUCGGUUUGAUCCAACGGCCCAUAUUCACUUGAAGGGACUAUAAAACCAGACCCCCUGGACCCUGGAGGAGGGAGCCUCUCAACCCUAAUUCAUUAUUCUCAAGGGAGAAGAAGCCUCUGAUCAAGCCUAGAGCCACCACAUCAAUUAGACAUCUAGAUUAGCAUAGCUACAUAGGAUUAGAACUAGAAGGAGUCAAUCUUCGAUUGGUUUCCGGAUCUGUCAAGAGGAUUCUUGGUAAUUCUCUAAUUGUUCUUCUAAUCAUCUUUAUUCUUCAAUAUUAUGAAUAUGACUUUGUUCUACUUCAUUAUAUUGCUUAUGACUUUGCUCUACUUGUUUAUGUUCAAGAUUAUAUUGUUCUUAGUUUAUCAUAGUUAUGUACUUGGCUUAGUUAGAUUGGAUCUAUAUACAUGCUUAGGAUCAUAUAGCGUUUAUCCAUUGGAUCCAUGGGUAAAUGAUAGAUAUUGUGUAGGCGUGGUGCUUAUACCGUAUUUAUCUACGAUUGUACCCAAUAUGCCAGAUCGUGGGGUAGUUCGUGAUAGUGACAGCUUCAUUGAUUCUUAUAUAGUCCCCCUCUCGUGUAUUGGGCUGGCAGAUUAUUACAGGGGAGUGAUUGCUAUGUUUCUCAUUUACCUUGCUAAUAUCACUAUGCAUGGGCGUAGUCUUGUCUCACAAUGAUUGCUAAGUAUGCUUGCACUAACUAUGAUAAUGCUAGACUAUAUAGUUAAGAAUAACAUAGGAAAUAUUCUUGUAGUUCGUUCUAAUACCAUGCUAAUGACUUUCUAGAAUAUCUAAUUGAGGUGCUUAUCAUAUUUAUUAUGUGGCUAAGUUAUGCUGAUCAGAUUAAUUAUCUUUGUCACUAUUCAUUACUUCAUAUAUCCUUUAUGUGACACUUAUCCCUGUAUGAAGGAGUUAGAUAAAUGUUCUCAAUUAUACAUGCAAUGAUAGAUACUCAAUCUCAUAUUCUAUUCUAUAAUCAAUAUUGAUGAUUACUAAUCCCUUCCCAAUGGUAAAAAUAUAAAUAACAAUACCUAGAAUACUUCCCAGUUAAAAUGCUACAUCAGUAUUAAUCUGUGCGCUUGCAGAUCCCAUUCAUUAUUUAUUUAGAAGAGCAAUUGCAUAUUUCAAUACCGCGUCUCUCAUGUCAUGCUGGGGAUGACAACUUGGCUUAAGUGGUAUGAGGGAUAGGUUUGGCAUUUUUGGCAUCGUUAUCAGAAUUAGAAAACUGUCUACUUUUGGUAGUGAUGUUAAGAAUACCCAACAGUGAUGACCACAAGAUGAUCAAGUGCUCAACUUGAAAAAGAAGAAAGAGAAAAACAAAACCCUAUGGAGAUCAAGGCAAAGGUAUUGCUUAGGGUUUUGGUUUUGGUGAUCAAGACACCAUAGAGGGUGUGAUCACAUUUAGGAUAGAUAGCCGUAUUAUAAAGAGGGGAAUUCUUUGGCUAAGCGGUUAUCAAGUGCCACUAGGUGUCAUUGUUCAUGUGCAUGCAUUUAGAACCUAGUGAGCUAACUUAACUCCUUCAAAGAAAAUGUUUAUAAAAAUGCUAACACACGUGCACAUGUUGGUUUACACAUUGUGGUGUUGGCACACUUUGAGAAGGAGGUGGAUUUUGAAGGGUAGAGAGAGGAUGGGUUCCUCCUCGGCGGGAUUUGGCGCUUUUUGAGAAAAUGAAGUGCAUAUUUUCUAUUGCACCGGUGGGAAAUUUGGAGAAGUCGCGGGAGUGUUUCUCGCUGAGGAACACUCACCGGACACUGGCCCAGAAGCACCGAACGUUGUGCCUGUGCGUCCGGUGAGCAGGCAGCCUGGCCCAGCUAGGGUAAGGCACCGGACGAUAGGCACCGGACGCAGUUUGGAGCGUCCGGUGGUGUGAGUCCGGUGACCUGAGUGUUUUGCAGACCUCUCUGUGUUUAAGACCGGUGUGCACCGGACACGUCCGGUGGAAACUUGUUCAGCGUCCGGUGCUCUGUAGGUUACCGUUGGACCCUAACACGUGGCUGACUUUGGAGCACCGGACGCAGGUGUUGAGCGUCCGGUGCCCCUUUAAGAGCGUCCGGUGACCCCGCAGUUUGCCCAGUGAAAGAGCCAACGACUCUAUUUGUUUGAGGGGCUAUAUAUACGUGUUUGGCUAGCUUGGGGCUCACCCUCUUGGCUUUCUUGACUACUAGACAUCCUUGUGAGCCUAAGCAAACACCUCCCACUCAUCUCCUUCAUAGAUUAAACAUCUUUGUGAGAUUGGGAGUGAUUCCAAGUGCAUUUGCUUAAGUGAUUGCAUCUAGUGGCACUUGGGGAUCGUUCUAGCUGCGGUUUUCUUGUUACUCUUGGUGGUUGCUGCCACCUAGACGACUUGGAGCAGCGGAGGAGCUUUGGCACGAGUUGGUGAUUGUUCGUGGCCAUCUCCCGGUGAUUGUGAGGGGUCUUGUACCUUCCCCGACGGAGAGCUGAAAGGUAACUCUAGUGGAUUGCUCGUGUCAUUGAGUUACCUCAAUUGUGGGUAGGUUCUUGUGGUGUCCUAGUGAGGACGAGGUUCGUGCUACACCUCUUAGCCACCGAACCACCAAGUGUUGGUCGACACAAUGGGGAUGUAGCGUGCCGGCAAGCAUGUGAACCUCAGGAGAAAAUCGUGUGUCUCCAUUGUGAUUGUACUUUGGAUUUCUCCCGAUGAUUGGACUUCAUAUUAUUGAUUGGUUCAUCCCCUCUACGCGGUGGUAUAAAGUUCAAACCAUCUCUCUUACUUUCUUGCAAACUAGAGUAGCUUACAUACUUGUAUAGAAACUUUAGGUAGCUCUCUAGUGUAAGUAGAGACAUAGCUCUUGUGGGCCUAGUGAUCAUAUCAACUAGAAUUGUUGGAUAGGUGGCUUGCAAACACCCCUUUAGAGCUAGAGCAAAAAGCUUCGCUUUGUUAUUUACUAACCUCUUGCUCUAGUGAUUUUGUAGAAUUUUUUAAUAGGGUAUUCACCCCCCUCUAGCCAUAUUAGGACCUUUCAGUUACAGCUCCAUCGGCUACUACAGCCGUUGCGGGUACAGAAGCUACUUCUCCUCCAAGCACAUUAGGGAUCACUAAUGCGCAAUCUACACCGAUGACGACCAAUCCAUCAACAUCAGACGGGCAAAUCAAGCUUGCCACAGAUCUAUUGGCAUCGGCAAUGUCGGGAUCUGUUCCUCCCAAUUGGUGGGGUUAUGGUAUGCCCCUAGAGAUGAUGGUGAAGACUCCUAGAACGUCUCAAGUGGCUGAUAUGACAGGCAAGGCUCCUAUGGCAUCGGCACCUCCAAAUCCGCCGAUGAAUCAGAGUCCCCAGUACAUUACAACUACUACUGCAAGACCUUACACUGGGAAUUCUCAAGCUCCAAUGUUCUAGAUGCCUAACGCAUCGGCAGAUUCAAUGCCGACGCAGCAGAGGUUUAUGACACAACCAGGGUAUGUCAAUUCGAUGAUGAUACCCAAUUACCAGUCAUCGGCAGGGCCUAUGCCGAUGAAUGCUAACAGUGGAUGGACUGGGCAGUUUGUCUUUCCAUAGCAGAAUCAUCAGGCUAUAGGGUUUCAACAAGGACCAAUCCAACCUGGGUUUCAGAAUCAAGGGUUGGUCAAUCAGCCGAUGAAUCUUAGUCAGCAGAUUGGUGGUCAGAUGGUUAACCCAGUGUUCCAUGCAGAUCGUGCACCUCAGAGACACGUGGAAGCAUAUCAGCAGGUGCCAGAUCCACAACCGCCUCAUCGGCAAGAUGCCGAUGCUUAUUGGGCCGAUAAGAUAGCUGAAGUAAUGAGAGACCAAUUUGGGAUAAAGCCCAAAGUCAACACUUACUCUUAUCAGACACUGUAUCCUUCUGAAUAUGAUUUAAUUCCACUUCCAAAUCGGUACAAGGUACCAGAUUUCACUAAGUUUUCUGGACAGGAUGAUACAUCGACUAUGGAGCAUGUCAAUAGGUUCAUCAUCCAGUGUGGAGAAGCUGCUAACAGAGAUGAGUUAAGGGUUCGUCUGUUCUCAUCAUCUUUGUCUGGAUCGGCUUUUACAUGGUUUAUUUCGUUACCUCCCAACUCAGUAAUCACUUGGGCCGAUCUAGAGAAGCAAUUCCACAAAUACUUCUUCUCUGGAGUUCAUGAAAAGAAGAUUACUGAUUUGGUCAGAUUGAAACAACGCAAUGAUGAAUCGGUCAAAAGCUUUGUGCAGAGGUUGCGAGAAGUUAAGAAUAAGUGCUAUAGUCUAGUUUUGGAUGAUCGGCAGCUAGCCGAUUUGGCUUUCCAGGGAUUGCUGCCACAUAUCAGAGACAAGUAUGCUUCUCAGGAGUUCGAGAGUUUGAGUCAUUUGGUGCAGAGGAUUUCUGACCAAGACAUUAAACCUUUUGAACCCAAGAGAGCAUGGAAUAAAAAUGUAUCAUUUGUCGAUGAGGCAGCAAGCUCAGAUUCUGAUGAGGAACCAGUCAUCGGCAUGGCAGAGUGGGUGAAAAAUAAGAAGCCGAUGUCUUGCCCUUUUGGGCAUAAAGAGCCAGAAAAAUUUGCAUUUGACAUCACCAAGGCCGAUAGAAUAUUUGACUUUCUACUUCAAGAAGGGCAAAUCAAGUUGUCACCCAAUCAUUUGGUUCCAUCGGCUGAAGAAUUAAAGAAGAUGAAGUACUGCAAGUGGCACAAUGCGACAUCCCACAGUACAAAUGAGUGCAAGGUUUUCAGGCAACAGCUGUAAUCGGCUAUAGAAUCUGGGAGAAUCAAGUUCGAUAAUUCUAAAGCUCAGAAGCCGAUGAACAUCGAUCAACAUCCUUUCCCAACAAAUAUGUUGGAUUCUAAGGGAAAAACCAAGGUCUUGACGUCAGAAGCAGCUGAAAGGAGUGCAUCGGUGGAUCCUCAGCAUCAGAUUACUGCUGAUGCCAAAGGAAAGGGUUUGAUCUAGGAAGGAACUAGUUCAGGAAGGCCUCCCCGAUCUGGCAUUGUGAUAACUCAUAGAAGGCAUCGGGAGACUUGGCAGCAACGUGAACAUCGGUAUCGGCGUCAACAAGAGGAUCGUCGCCGGGAAGAGGACCAACGCCGACAGGAGUGGAAUCGGCAUAAAGAUCACUGGAACUGCCCGUUCUUUAUCCAUUGCUGGGAGGAAAACAUUAAACUGUUUACUGUUAGAGAUUGCCCUGAAUGCAAUGGUUAUGAUCGAUAUGAUAGAUUUAAUCGGCAGUAUCAAAACGAUGAUCGGCGAUUUAAUGGGCCGAUUAGGGGAAGAACUUUAGUUCAUGAUCGGCUGGGGGGCAGGCUCAGUGUGCAUGACAGACUUGGUGACCGUGUUGGGUAUUUUCCCAGAAAUCAAGAGGAGCUUGAAGAGAUGGUCGAUGCACGAGUUCCCGAUGAGUUCAUAUUUUGUAGGGAUGCUAAUACCUAUUGAGUGGAGUCAAGGGAAAGUCAUCGCCCAUCGGCAAGGCAGCCACAACUUCCUCCAUGGUGUUCGGAGGGGCUGACUAGGACUCAGAAAAUAAGGCUGCAGCGUGAAAGACGAGAAGAUUUGAGCAAGGGAGAGAACUCUGGCAAGUCUGGAGAUCAGCAGCAACCGGAUCCUAAAGGGAAAGGACCAUCGGCAGAUGUUAACAUGGUAUUUAUGUUGCCGAUGGAGUUCCUUGCGCCGUCCAGUGAUGAUGAAGAGGUGAAUUUUUCUGACCAGAUAGCUCAGUUGGCUCUAGAUCCAAUGACGGCUAUCUUUGAAAAACCUACCGACAAUGAAAGACAGCAUCUUAAAGCCCUGUUUGUCAAAGGUAGGGUUGAUGGGCAGCCGAUGACCAAGAUACUUGUUGACGGUGGGGCUACUAUCAACAUUAUGCCGUAUGCAGUUUAUCAGAAGCUUGGGAAAGGAGACCAGGACUUGACCAAGACCGAUAUGAUGCUGAAGGAUUUUGAAGGAAAUGUGUCUUCGGUUAAGGGAGCAGUAUGUGUCGAGUUGACCAUCGGCAGCAAAACCUUGCCGACAACUUUCUUCGUUAUCAGUGGACAAGGUGCUUACAAUCUACUGUUGGGAAGAGAUUGGAUUCAUGCUAAUUGUUGCAUCCCAUCAACAAUGCACCAAUGCUUGGUUCAGUGGGUAGGUGACAAGAUUGAGAUUGUCCUGGGAGAUUCUUCUUAUGUCAUCGCAUCGGCAGAAGCAGAUACUUAUGAAAGGACCAGGUGCAUCUCGGGAGAGAUUUGGGAGAAGGAUUUCCUCAAAGUUGCUGAUUAUGAGAUUCCACCGAUCCAAGCAGUCGGUUCUGAUGAGGAGUUUUAAUGGAUAGGUUCGCCGAUGAUGGAAAAUUAGGCCAGGGGUUUACAUUGGUCGAUGAUUUAGUAGAGGUAGAUUUAGGUGAUGGUGAUAGGCCAAGGCCUACUUUUAUUAGUGCUAAGUUAGAUUCUGAGUGUAAGCAACAGUUAACCGAUUUGUUAAAGGAAUAUAAAGAUUGCUUUGCUUGGGAUUAUAUCGAGAUGCCUGGUUUGGACCGAUCUAUUGUUGAACAUCGGUUGCCGAUCAAAUCUGGAUUUCGGCCAUAUCAGCAGCCAGCCUGCCGAUGUAAUCCUAAUAUUCUUCCUGAUAUUAAGGCCGAAAUAACCAAACUUAUCGAAGCUGUCGAGGGUAUCGGUAAGGGGUACCCUCAGCGACGCGCAUUAUGAGAUUGCCCGUACGAAGGUCGAGACCCUCAAUUCGACGCUCUGAUCUUACGUAUGCGCCGCCAUCGACUGUCGCAGCCUCGAAGACGGAAAUAGCGUCGAGCGAAUCGGUCAGGGCUCGAGCGACGACUGCCGUCGAAAACGGAAGCGGGCUCGAGCGAACCGAGAGGCGUCGGGCGCAAGGACACUGUCCGCCGCCUAACGCGCGCACGCGGGCCGGAGCAUUAAAUGCACCUGACGCUUCCCCACCUAACACACGGGUCACGGAAGGCGUGAUAGGGAACAAGCUUCUGUCCCAUCGUUCUUUUUGCAGCCUUCCCACCGAACGACCCAGGGCGUGUCAGGACGCAGGAAACAAGGAUGGAACGUCUAAUCGGGACCCCCUCGAGACACCCAAGGUCAGCGCUCCAGAUAUCAGCAUAUUACACGGCGUCCGACCCUCGACCGAACAGGGUCCCUUCCUAGGGACAAGUUGGGCGUCGACUGACAACACCACAGCUACCCCGCCGGAUCCGCCACCAUACCGUACAAGCAUGCGACCUCAGAACCAGCACAAGGCGGCUGGCAGGGCAGAACGCAGGAGCACGCGUAAUCAUCACCGGGCUAUCAAGAUGGGACGGCUCGAGGCCAUGCCGUCGGAAGCCUCGAGUAGGUCAGCGCUCCAUGCGGCUAUCGAUCCCUACUCUAACAUCUACGCAUGUACCCUGUGUCUCUCCUUGGAGCUAUAAAAGGAGAGACUCAGGAAUAGAAGAAGGGGACAUCACAACACAAGACCACGCUCAUACGUAGUAAAGCUCCACACUUCAUACCACGCUUGUAUUCGCCCCUGUACAAGCACUUAGGUGCAAGAUAAUACGAACUCUCUCCCCCCGCUGGACGUAGGGCCUUCUCUUGCCCGAACCAGGAUAAAUCUCUGUGUCUUCUUGCAUCACCAUCCGGGAUAGGGAGCACGCAUACAAAUUUACUCGUUGGUGUGACCCCUCGGGGGAAAAACACCGACAGUUGGCGCGCCAGGUAGGGGUCCUGCGUGUUUUUCAUCGAUUUCCCACUACUUUCCGGAUGGCUACUCUUGCCUCGCCGCUUCCGCGCUCCACGGUGAUUUGGUUUGGGAGUCUCGAGUUCAUGUCUACGGGCUCCGGCUACGACAUGAUCUUGCUCUCAGUCAAAGGACCAGGAGGAGUCUGCGUUACGCCAGCACGGUUGAAGGCCCCGAGACGCCCUCACCACCAUGCCUCCCCGCCUAAGAAGAGGCACGGACAGCACCACCGCGGCCCUUCUGCUUCAGCACGACCAACAACUCGUGCGAGGCAGGAUGUGGGCCACAAGUCGGCAGCACCAUGUGACGGAGCAACAAGUGCGACGACUCAGCACCGCGCGACGACGGGAGGGGACGCGUCUCGCGCCCUCUCCCCCACCGCAGCUAGGCUACUUCCACACGGGUUGUUCUCUCCAAGGGCGGCACUGCCGUUCGGAAUGGACAACGCCGCGGCGUCACUCGCCAGGACGAUAUGCCCAAACGCCCAGACGUACGUGGAAAGACCCAUGGUCCUCCCACAUAGCUCUGAAGCACGGCGGCCGGCGUCCGAGCUGCCGGACCUUUCCCGAGUACGAGGCCUCCGUCGUCUAGGCCCUGGACGAUACUCGAUCACCUCCCUCAGGCAACGAUUGCUGGAGGAAGGACGUGGGUGUUUUUACGCCGCCGAACCGGACUCCGACUCCGAGACAGACAGCUAUGACCCUACGAGGGAAUGUUAUCACAUCGACGGGGCGGUAGAAACUACUGACGAGACACGGGAUGCUGCUGCGGGUGGUCGAGCCCCCGCGGCGCGAGAAGACCCCAGGACGCCUGGGAACGACGGACAAGUCGACCCCCCACCUCAGGAAGACAGAAUCGCGCAGCUCGCGCAGCUGCGGGAGCUCAAAAUGAAGCUCGACGAAGACCGCGAGCGCCUCGUCCUGCUCGAGCAAAUCCUCGAACAAGACCUGCCCUACCCGCCGGGCGGAAGUGUCCGCAGACGCGCUCGAGAGGUACAUUGACAAAUCGUCGGUGACGCAGAGGCGGAGCAACCUGUCAGCCGUUUCCCUCGAGCAGGCCAGAAUGUAGUGGCAGCGACGAUGCUGCUACGUAACAUGCCAGAGCCGUCGAAUUCCCAGGCCCGACGCAUUCGAGAUGAAGUUCAGACAUUGCUCCAGGUGGCAGCAGUUCAACAAGCCGAAAGUUCGGCGUCUCGACGAGGAGCUGCCACAGAGAAGCGCGACGAACAGCCUCUAAACGAAGAGGAGGUGUCAGUCCAUCAACAACCUCCCCCUCGAGGUAGAAAGACCGCUCUCAUCCUCCCUGCCGACAAUCAACGUCGACACGACGCGCGGCACGACAUCAAAGAAAAUAGACGCCGCCGGCACGGAGACGCGGAAGAACGUGGUUAUAGCGCGCAUCGCGGUGGGAGAUACGACAGCGACGAGGACCGGGUGGCCCCCGAGCCACCGGGCCCGCGGGUGUUCAGCAGGGCGAUUCGCAGCACGCCCCUGCCCAAUCCGUUUCGACCCCCGACCAGCAUCGCGAAGUACAAACGGAGAGACCAAACCUGAGUUAUGGCUGGCCGAUUUCAGGUUGGCCUGUCAGCUAGGUGGCGCUCGAGGUGAUGACCGAGCCAUCAUCAGACAGCUACCCCUUUUCCUCUCCGACACCGCCCGUCGAUGGCUCGAGGAACUCCCUGCCAAUCAGAUCCACAACUGGGUUGAUCUGGUCAGAGUCUUCGAGGGUAACUUCAAAGGGACCUACAUACGGCCAGGGAACUCGUGGGACCUCAGCAAAUGCAAGCAGAAGUCAGGAGAAACUCUUCGGGAGUACGCUCGACGCUUCUCGAAGCAGCGCACUGAGUUGCCGCACAUCCCUGACCACGACGUCAUCUUGGCGUUUGUCUCGGGCACCACCAGUCGAGACUUGGUGCGGGAAUUAGGUCGCAAUCGACCUCAGACCGUCGACGAGCUGAUGGACGUAGUAGCUAACUACGCGGCAGGGGAGGAGGCAGUCGGCGCCUUCUUCAGCUCAGAAGGAAGAAAAGGCAAGCAGCCCAUCGGUGAAGAUGGGACUUCCAGUCGAGGCCUCAAGAAAAAUAAAAAGAAGCAGAAAGUGCGGCAGUUCCACCGGGAAGAUUCAGAUGACAACCUCGUCGCCGCCAUGGAUCGAAAGAAGCCGCGAGGCCCUCCGGAUGGAGGCAUCUUCGACAAGAUGUUGGAGGAGCCGUGCCCUUACCAUAAGGGGGGCGCCAACCACAAACUCAAGGACUGUCGUAUGCUGAGAAAGCAUUUCGACGGUCAGGGGUUCAAAAAAGAUACGCGUGAUGACUCCAAGAAAGAGAAGGCUGGCGGCAAGGAGGACAACAAAGAUGACGACGGCUUCCCCGCCGUCCACGACUGCUACAUGAUCUAUGGCGGGCCUUCGACUCGGUUGACCACGAGGCAGCGCAAAAGGGAGCGUCGCGAAGUCUUUGCAGCAAGAAUGGCGGUGCCCCAAUACCUUAGCUGGUCGAGCACUCCCAUCACUUUCGACCAAGAAGACCACCCUGACAAGGUAGUCGCCCUAGGCGUCUACCCGCUCGUCGUCGACCCCAUCAUCGUCAACACCCGACUCUCGAAAGUGCUGAUGGAUGGUGGUAGCAGCCUCAACAUCAUCUACCUCGAGACCCUCGAUCUCCUCGGCAUCGAUAGAGGACGCCUCCAGCCAAGCGCCGGCGGUUUCCAUGGCGUCGUACCAGGGAAAAAGGCACUGCCAGUAGGUCGAAUCGACCUACCGGUCUGCUUCGGCACGGCGGCCAACUUCAGGAAGGAGACCCUCACCUUUGAGGUGGUUGGGUUCCGAGGCACGUACCACGCCAUCAUCGGGCGCCCGGGCUACGCCAAGUUCAUGGCUAUACCCAACUACACAUACUUGAAGCUGAAGAUGCCUGGUCCCAAAGGCGUCAUCACUGUCAGUUCCUCCUUCGAGCACGCGUACGAGUGCGACGUCGAGUGCGUCGAGUACGGGGUGGCGGUCGAGAGCUCCACCGAGCUCGUUGCAAAGCUCGAGGCCAUGGCCGCUGAGGCUCCAGAGCCUAAGCGUCAUGCGGGCAGCUUCGAGGCGGCGGAAGGAACUAAGAAGAUCCCGCUCGACCCCAACAACUCCAACGGCAAGGUGCUAACGAUCAGCACCGACCUCGACCCCAAAUAGGAAGCCGUGCUCGUCGACUUUCUCCGUGCAAAUGCUGAUAUGUUUGCAUGGAGUCCCUCGGACAUGCCAGGCAUACCGAGGGAAGUCGCCGAGCACUCCUUGGAAAUUCGAGCCGGUUCCAAGCCAGUGAAGCAGCGGUUGCGCCGAUUCGACGAGGAAAAGCGCAAGAUCAUUGGCGAGGAAGUCCACAAGCUUUUGACGGCCGGAUUCAUCAAGGAGGUUCAUCAUCCUGACUGGUUAGCGAACCCUGUAUUAGUUAAGAAAAAGAAUGGGAAAAUGAGGAUGUGUGUCGAUUAUACUAGUUUGAAUAAAGCAUGUCCAAAAGUUCCCUUUCCAUUGCCACGCAUUGAUCAGAUUGUCGAUUCUACCGCGGGAUGUGAAACCCUUUCUUUCCUUGAUGCUUAUUCUGGUUACCACCAAAUAAAAAUGAAAGAGUCCGACCAGCUCGCGACCUCUUUCAUCACACCUUUCGGGAUGUAUUGCUACGUGACCAUGCCAUUUGGGCUUCGAAACGCGGGAGCCACGUAUCAACGUUGCAUGCUCCACGUAUUUGGCGAACAUAUAGGCUCAACGGUCGAGGCCUACGUCGACGACAUUGUCGUCAAGUCAAAGCGACGAGGAGACCUGAUCCAGGACCUCGAGGUUGCCUUCAGCUGCUUACGCACCAGCCGGAUCAAGCUCAAUCCCGAGAAGUGCGUUUUCGGCGUGCCUCGAGGCAUGCUCCUAGGAUAUAUCAUUUCGCAGCGCGGUAUCGAGGCCAACCCCGAGAAAGUCUCGGCCAUCACGAAAAUGGGGCCAAUCCGAGACAUCAAGGGUGUGCAGAGAGUCACGGGGUGCCUGGCGGCUCUGAGCCGUUUCAUCUCGAGACUAGGAGAAAAGGCAUUACCAUUAUAUCGACUCCUAAAGAAGGUCGAGCGCUUUUCUUGGACCCCCGAGGCCGAGGAAGCACUCGAAAAACUGAAAAAGACGCUGACCUCGGCACCAGUCCUGGUUCCACCUCAACCUGCAGAGCCGCUGCUCCUCUACGUCGCGUCGACGACCCAGGUCGUCAGCGCGGCGGUGGUGGUCGAGAGGCAGGAGGAGGGACACGCGUUACCGGUUCAGAGGCCAGUAUAUUUCGUCAGCGAGGUGCUUUCGGAAACCAAAGCACGUUACCCCCAAAUCCAGAAGCUGAUUUAUGCCGUAAUCCUUGCUCGUCGCAAGCUGCAGCAUUACUUCCUCGGCCACCCCAUCACGGUGGUCUCGUCUUUUCCUUUAGGCGAAAUAAUCCAGAGCAAAGAAGCCACGGGAAGAAUAGCAAAAUGGUCCGUCGAGCUCAUGAGUGAGACUCUCACUUAUGCGCCUCGAAAGGCCAUCAAAUCGCAGGCCCUGGUAGACUUCAUCGCAGAAUGGACGGACACCCAGCUCCCCCCAACCCAGGUCCAGGCGGAACUAUGGACGAUGUAUUUCGAUGGGUCGCUCAUGAAAACAGGAGCCGGAGCCGGCCUGCUGUUCAUCUCACCCUUGGGCGUCCACAUGAGGUACAUAAUCAGGAUUCAUUUUGCCGCAUCUAACAAUGUCGCAGAAUAUGAGGCCCUCGUCAACGGUCUCAAGAUCGCUAUCGAGUUAGGAGUCCGACGCCUCGACGUCCGAGGCGACUCCCAACUCGUCAUCGACCAGGUAAUGAAAACCUCGAGUUGCCACGACCCAAAAAUGGAAGCGUACUGCAAGGAGGUCCGUCGACUCGAAGACAGGUUCCACGGCCUCGAGCUUGUCCAUGUCGCUCGACGCUACAACGAGGCAGCCGACGAACUCGCCAAGAUCGCAUCUACCAGAGGCACAGUGCCGCCUGAUGCAUUCUCAAAGGAUCUUCACGAGCCAUCCGUCGACCUAGGCACGGGGGCUGGCGUCGACACCACCAUCGCCCAACCAACCAAUGCUGUCGAUGCGCUCCUGAUGGAGGAAGAGGUGAUGGAGAUAGAACGACGACCGGGUCGACCAUUCGAUUGGCGCACACCGUUCCUCGACUGCCUUAUCCGCGGUGAGUUGCCAGAAGACAAGACAGAAGCUCGUCGUAUCGCUCGACGGGCCAAAUCAUAUGUGAUCUAUGGCGAAGACAAUGAGCUAUAUCGACGGAGCCCGACGAGGGUCUUACAACGUUGCAUCACCGUAGAGGAAGGCCGAAAACUCCUCAAUGACCUGCACUCGGGGGCUUGUGGCCACCACGCCGCCCCACGGACCCUUGUAGGAAACGCUUUUGUGCAAGGCUUUUACUGGCCAACGGCCGUGGCGGAUGCCAUCGAGCUCGUAUGCUCGUGUCAUGGGUGCCAAUUCUACGCCAAACAGACGCAUCUGCCCGCCCACGCUCUUCAGAUGAUCCCCAUCACCUGGCCGUUUGCGGUAUGGGGGCUCGAUUUAGUAGGACCUCUACAAAAGGUGAAAGGAGGGUAUACCCAUUUGCUGGUGGCCAUCGACAAGUUCUCCAAAUGGAUCGAGGCUCGACCCAUCACCAACAUCCGCUCCGAGCAGGCCGUCCUUUUCUUCUCCGACAUCAUCCAUCGGUUUGGGAUCCCCAAUGUCAUCAUCACCGACAACGGCACCCAGUUCACCGGCAGAAAGUUCUUGGAUUUCUGCGAUCAGCAUCACAUCCGUGUGAACUGGUCUGCAGUAGCCCACCCUCGAACUAACGGCCAGGUCGAGCGUGCCAACGGCAUGAUUUUGCAAGGACUCAAGCCAAGGAUCUACAAUCGAUUGAAGAAAUUCGGCAAGAAAUGGGUCGAGGAGCUUUCCUCAGUCCUAUGGAGCCUUAGGACAACGCCAAGCAGGGCCACAAAAUACACCCCGUUCUUCAUGGUCUACGGCUCUGAAGCUAUCCUCCCCACAGACCUCGAGUAUGGGUCACCACGACUCAAGGCUUACAACGAGCAAUCGAACAAAGAGACUCAGGAAAACGCGGUCGACCAACUCGAGGAGGCUCGAGACAUGGCCCUCCUCAACUCUGCUAGAUAUCAGCAGAGACUCCGACGCUACCACGACAAGCACGUGCGCAAGAGGGACCUCAACGUAGGCGACCUUGUCCUACGACGCCGGCAAAGCAACCAAGGACGCCACAAGCUGACCCCACCUUGGGAAGGCCCGUAUGUGGUGGCCGAGGUCCUUAAGCCAGGAACGUACAAAUUGGCGGACGAAAAGGGGGCAGUCUUCACCAACGCAUGGAACAUCGAACAGCUACGUCGAUUCUACCCCUAGAAGUCCUAGACUUACGAUCCUACUUUUUGUACGAAGACUUUGUAAAUGAACGCAUGAAUAAAUAAAGUCUUUCCCUCGAGCGGCUUCUUUCUGUACCAAAAAUAGUUACGAGUUAUAGUCUCGACGUCAAAAGGGGAUGCCGACCAUGACCCAUCGUAGUCCGCACCCCCUCGGGGGCUACCAGAGGGACGACCCCUCCCCAAGCGUCGAAAAAGCCAAGAAAUUUUCUUUUCUUGCUUGGUAAACCUUGCACGGUUCGAGUAGCCAAGGCACCUCGAGCCCCUCAAAGGCCGAGGGAUAAUGAGCCCGAAAACUCCCACGCCCCUGGGCUACGGAAACUCUACUCACUUCCUCACCCUUGAGGAAAUCGAGGUUGUUUCUGACGAAAGGUCGAGCAAGGGAUACAAACGUAGGAACAAAGAGAAACAAAGGAACCUCGAGCGGAAAGACAAAUAAGCAGUUAACAAUUACGAAAAGAUACUAUAUCACGUAACAGCAAAAUUAAUAAAGUAUCGUACAAGGGGCCUCAGGCGCCCUGAGCAGGCUCGCAGGCCUCAGUCAGCGGCACGAUCCUCACCGCCCUCGCCUCCGCCCGAACUAGCCUCAGGAGGGAGCACCUCAGGCUCGAAGAGCUUGGCCAACCUUUCCCCAGGAGCCUCCGCGUCGUCGAUCAAGGCAUGGAGCCUCUCCUCGUUCUCCGCGUCGGUCUUGGAAAUGUCGGUGACGAAGCCAUGGGACACCACCUCCAUGUCGUAGGAGAAGCCCGAGCAGACAACCGCCAUCGCCCGCUUCACCCCGAUGUGGAGGGCGUCCCGCACCCGAUCUCGCAGCGUUGCGCCUAUGUAGCACAACUGGUCGAUCAGGGCGUCGCCUCGAGCGUCCUCCCUCAACUCAUCCAUAGGCUCGACCUCCCAAGAGGUCGAGAGAUCGCUUAUCGCCGUCCGCACUCGACGGUUCGAAGCAACCUCAGCCUCGAGCUGAGCCUUGGCGUUGCGAGCCUCGGCUUGGGCGGCUAGGAGUUCGUCCUUGAGCCCUAUAAAUGCCAAUACAAAGAAGCUUUAGGAAAAACUCAAGCACACCUCGAAAAGGAAAUUCGACAAAGGAAACAUACCUUUGAUGCUCUUCUCUAGGGCCGUGUUCUCGCCGACCAAUCUGGUGUUGGCACGCUCGAUCUCUCUGUUGGAGCGCGCCAGCUCAGUAUUGGCGACGCGGAGAUCUUCGAUCACCCUGCCAGCCUGAGCGACGGCUCCACUCUUCUCCAGCAAUUCUCCCUUCAGACGCUCGACGUCGUCAGAGAGACUGCGGGAUCGAGCUCGCUCCAUCUCGAGGUCUUCGAGGGCCUUCUUCUUUGUGUCCUCGGCGGCACCCCUGGCGACCUCAUUGUCCACGAAUGCCACUUUCAUCUUUUGGAAGGUAUCGCGGAGGGAGUCCAGGUCGGUUUGGAGAAGGCCCUUCUCCUUGUCCAGGUCCGCAAUGACGCUCUUGUAGGACAGGGCCUCCUCCCGGGCUCUGGACGCGGCCUCCUCGACCGUAAGAGCCCGCUCCCGUAGCUGCAUCGCCUCCUCCUCCGCCUUCUUCGAGACCUCCCGGGCCUCGGCCAAAGCAGCCUCCCUCGCCUUCUUCUCCUCCUCGAGUGCUAUGAGAUCUUUGUAAGCUUUAAGCAGCUUUUCCUGCGACUCGAGGAGUUGAUCCUUGAGGAGGGGAAGCUGCUCCCAUCCGCCCCUCGUGGCAUGUAUGAAGCUGGACUUGAUGCGAGAGGUCUCUUUCAUAUCCUGCGAAUCAGGGGUCGGAUGGAUUAGAAUACAGAAACCAGAAAGCACCAUAAAGAUUGGAGUUCGAGAGACACUUACAAAAUAAGCUGGCCCGAGCCCGUUGUUGAUGACGUCCGAUAGGAGCCCCACCACGUGUUUCAUCCAAAGGCGGAGCUCCUCGACAUGCUCCCACUUCUCGACCUCCUUCUUGUCGUCGAGGAAAAUAUUGGGCUCGGACGGGUCGGUGGAAGCUCGGAUACGAAUCCGAUUGGGACACCAGUUCUCCAUCUCCCGAUCAGCCCGCACCUUGACGCCGCGGAGAAAGUUCUCGACGGUCUCGAGGGAACCCCCAUGGCGCAAGAACAGGUCGGCGAGGCAAGGGAACCGCCCGUCGUCGUCCACCGUCUUCCACGUACCGUCCUUGCUCCCAGACGACCCGAUCUCAUCCUCCUCAGAGGGAAAGCGGUCCUCCCAUGCUCGACGCUCCCGGAGGAACCCUGGGGCGAUCCCGUCCAUGCCGUAGAUCGUCCUCUUGAUCUCGGACUCGGGGUCGGUGGGGGUGCGCAUCAUGCAGGCGAGCGCCACCACUCCGUCCGCUCGCCCCGACUCUGCCUGGAUCGCGGCAGGCGCCCCCGGGAGGAGCCACGCUGGGGUGGGAGGUCCGUACACCGACAAAUUUCCCUCUUGAUCGCCGGGCUCUUGCGACGCCAGUGGCGCCGGUUCGGCCAAACCUUGAGGCGGGGGCUCGAGUGGCUCGUCCUCUUGGCCCCCCAGCUGCUGUUGCUGCCCCAGCUGCUGCUGCUGCUCCUCCUGCUGAUGCUGCAGCUGCUCCUCCGGCUGGGGUCGCUGCUGCUGCUGCUCCAGUGACGGCUGCGUCGCCUCGCGCUCCCGCUCCUCCUCCUCCACCAUCUUCCUUUGCGCCUCGAGAGCUCGAAGGCCUGCAGGCCAGGGAGUCCGUCCCGCGACGUUGGGGGUCGAUGCUUCUUCCUCCAUAGGUCGAGCGCCCCCAGACGCUUCGUUGCCAUCAGACGUAUCGCUGAUGGUGAUGGGUUCCCCCUCGACCCCCAAUCGAGAGGGCUCGGGGGCUCCCUCUGACGCUCGCGUCUGGGGGGCCGCAUCAUGAGUCGGCGGCGGCGGAGUAGACGCGGGACGAGAUGAAGCCCUCUCGACGCCGGCUGGAGGUUGGGUGCUGGAUGAGCCUACAAAACAAAGGGUAAGGGUCAGACGUUAUGAUAACCAACGCAAGAAUAUCGCGACGCCCGGGAAUUAACUACGAACCUGGUUCCGUGGAGGCGGCACCCGUUCUGAGCCUCUUGGCCAUAGACGGUUGGGCCUGCUCAAGGGUCCGCUUCAGCCUGAGAAAAGGUCGGCAUAUGAGGAAAGGUGGAAGAAUGGGAAGACAAAAACCGCAACAUCAAAAAAGGCUUACCCCACGGGGAGAACGGCUCGCCUUCCGCCACCCCGACCAGCGGGCCUCGAGCCACCCCGCGUCGGGGCUCCGGGCCCCUCGAGGGCACGAACCGGCUUAGGUACGUCGGUCCCCGCCUGGCGGACGCCGGGACCCACGCUCUUACGGCCGGCGUCUCCUCUCUCAGAGGCCGCAGCGCGACCACGGGUUAGCGGCCCCGACGCCUGGGACCUAGCCGGAUCGCUCUCCCUGGGCACCGGGGGAGGGCGCGGUGCGUCUUGUCCCGCCUUGGGCGCGGGAGGGGUGUCGGCCCGGGGACGACGAGAUCCGCUCGGACCCUCCUCUGGCGCCUCUGUCCGGGGGGCGUCGGCGUCGCCUCGAGGCGGGCCCUCGAGAAUCCGAUCGAGGCGCGACGCCAUCCCCUCGGAGUCGUCGCUGUCCUCGUCGUCAUCGUCGUCAUCAUUGGGGGAUUCUUCCUCAGGCUCCCCCCUCUGCCUGGAUUUGGCUCGACGCGCCUCUAAUGCUUGGCGGUCGAGGUUCUUCUUCUUCUCCCCCUUCUUUGCGGAGACCUUGGCAGACUUCAGCUUUUCGGCGGAUUGGCGCCGUUUGUCGCGAUCGACCUCGUCCUCCUUUACCGGAGGCCUCGAGGACCGGACAUCAAUCCGACCCUGCCAAAACUAAGGUAGACUUAGAAAAAAGAGAGGGGAGAAAGGAAACCCAGAAUCGGGGAUGCGCGUAAGAAGAAAGCGUACCAGAUCGAUCGAGCCUGCGUCAGGUCUCAUGGGGAAGCCGUUGACAUGCUCCGGCUGAAAAUCACCGGCAAUUGCGGCCCUGACUCGGGCCGCGACUUUGUCGUCCGCCGGAGGCUCGUUGGACAUCCGACAUGCCUCGAGGUCCCGAGAUGAGACGCCAGGGCCCAUCUCGUCCAUCCUCAACGGUCGUGACAUCAGAGGGAGAACUCUCCGAUGAUGGACGGCCGAGAGGACGAGGGCGACGGUCAAACCUUCCUAGCGAAGCUUCUUCAGGGCGUCGAGGAGAGGGUCGAGCCGAGACUGAUGAGCUUGGACGACGCCGUACGUCCAGUCCGCUGGACGCUCCAAGAUCAGACGGCCCGAGUAGGAAGGCAGGAGGUUGUCGUCGUUCCGCAGGUAGAACCAUUGGGAGUCCCAGCCGUCGUGGUUGGUCGACAACCCUACCGGGAUGUACUCCCGCGGCCGGUCCGUCUUCCCCGUCUUCUGCACCAGAUUGAGGCAACCCGCCCGCACGGGCUUCCUUACGCCCGUGGUUCCGGUGGGGGCGUGAAACAGCUCGCCCCUGUAGAGGUGGAGCCACAGCUCCCAGUGCGGCAUCAUCCCCAGGAAGCCCUCACACACGGCGGCGAAGACCGCCGCUACGGUGAUGGCGUUUGGAGAGAAGUGCUGGAGCUCCACCCCAUAAUGGAAGCAGAGGGCCCGCAUGAAGCGGCUUGGGGGCGCGCCCAGACCGUGGCGGUGAAACUUGGCGAACGACACCACGUAGCCCUCGGGCGGCUGAGGCGCCCUGUGACUCACCGGCGGCGCGAUCCACUCUGGCGACGACAGCGAGGUGCGGCGGCGCAGCAGUCCCUCCUUCUCAAGCUCUAACAGCCGGCGCUCCGUCAUCGACGACGGGCGCCAGUCGUCGGCGGCGACGAGUCUUACAGGCAUCUCGGCUAAAGGGACGGUGGGUUCGCUACUGCUCGAGGGGGCGUGUGCGCGUGAGAUGGCGAGAAAGCAAAGGCAGCGAAGGAAUAAGAGCAAGAAGGCGGAAGGGAGAGGAACGGCGGUGACGCGACGACGUAUUUAUAGGCAGCUGUCCGCCAACGGACAGAUCCGAGAAGUAAGGUAACUCCCCCCAUAAAUGCGCCGCCUGACAGUCCUCUCUCUCUCCUCACAGGCCGGACUCUCCGAAUUCCUCGCCGAUACAGUGUCGUAACGUCAUCCGCCUAAAAAGGCGCGCCCAACGGGCAGAAAGGCGAACCGCCACGGCCGUUUCCUUCCCUCGUAAGCCAAGGGACGUAACCACAAAAGUCUCGAGAGGUCGAUGGCUGGCCCGCCAAAAGGGUUCGACAGCCGAUCUCGAGCGCCAGAGUCAGGGAUCCCCAGCGAGCGGUCGAAGAUCGAGGCCCGCCUCGAGGACUCGCUGGCGAUGUUCAAGGUAGGGUCGAGACAGUCGAGAGGAAUCCCCCCGACGGGAGGCAUCGAGCCGCCGGUCUCUAUCGAAUGAGACUGGUAUCCCCGACCACGUCGACCCUGCUUUAUGAGGACGCCUCCGGGCUACAGCUGACCCCCUCGAAAGGGGCACAGGUUCUCACUUGGACUACCCGCUAGGAACUCAAUUUGGGGUGGAAGACGCUCGCUCUAUCGAGAGUACGUCGAAACCCCCGGGCAAAAACGAGCCAGUCAGAAUCUUCCACCACUGGUGUCGAAAGCAUUUCUGUGAAUUAGACAACAUAACCCUCGAAGGAGUCAAAAACUCCUCCGAGGGCUCGGGGGCUACUGUCGAGGGUAUCGGUAAGGGGUACCCUCAGCGAUGCGCAUUAUGAGAUUGCCCGUACGAAGGUCGAGACCCUCAAUUCGACGCUCUAAUCUUACGUAUGCGCCGCCAUCGACGGUCGCAGCCUCGAAGACGGAAAUAGCGUCGAGCGAAUCGGUCAGGGCUCGAGCGACGACUGCCGUCGAAAACGGAAGCGGGCUCGAGCGAACCGAGAGGCGUCGGGCGCAAGGACACUGUCCGCCGCCUGACGCGCGCACGCGGGCCGGAGCAUUAAAUGCACCUGACGCUUCCCCACCUAACACACGGGUCACGGAAGGCGUGAUAGGGAACAAGCUUCUGUCCCAUCGUUCUUUUUGCAGCCUUCCCACCGAACGACCCAGGGCGUGUCAGGACGCAGGAAACAAGGAUGGAACGUCUAAUCGGGACCCCCUCGAGACACCCAAGGUCAGCGCUCCAGAUAUCAGCAUAUUACACGGCGUCCGACCCUCGACCGAACAGGGUCCCUUCCUAGGGACAAGUUGGGCGUCGACUGACAACACCACAGCUACCCCGCCGGAUCCGCCACCAUACCGUACAAGCAUGCGACCUCAGAACCAGCACAAGGCGGCUGGCAGGGCAGAACGCAGGAGCACGCGUAAUCAUCACCGGGCUAUCAAGAUGGGACGGCUCGAGGCCAUGCCGUACGGAAGCCUCGAGUAGGUCAGCGCUCCAUGCGGCUAUCGAUCCCUACUCUAACAUCUACGCAUGUACCCUGUGUCUCUCCUUGGAGCUAUAAAAGGAGAAACUCAGGAAUAGAAGAAGGGGACAUCACAACACAAGACCACGCUCAUACGUAGUAAAGCUCCACACUUCAUACCAUGCUUGUAUUCGCCCCUGUACAAGCACUUAGGUGCAAGAUAAUACAAACUCUCUCCCCCCGCUGGACGUAGGGCCUUCUCUUGCCCGAACCAGGAUAAAUCUCUGUGUCUUCUUGCAUCACCAUCCGGAAAAGGGAGCACGCAUACAAAUUUACUCGUUGGUGUGACCCCCCGGGGGAAAAACACCGACAGAAGCUAAAUUUAUUCGGCAGUGUUGGUAUGCCAAGUGGAUUUCCAAUGUCGUUCCAGUUUACAAGAAAAAUAGAAAGCUUCGAGUUUGCAUUGAUUUCAGGAAUCUUAACAAGGCUACGCCGAUGGAUGGUUACCCGAUGCCAGUUGCCGAUUUACUAGUUGAUGCUGCGGCUGGACAUCAGAUCAUAAGCUUCAUGGAUGGCAACGCAGGAUAUAAUCAGAUAUUCAUGGCUAAAGAAGAUAUUCCAAAGACUGCAUUUAGAUGUCCUGGUCAUGUUGGGCUGUUUGAAUGGAUAGUCAUGACCUUUGGCUUGAAAAAUGCUGGUGCUACCUACCAAAGAGCUAUGAAUUUUAUCUUUCAUGAGUUCAUCGGCAAGCUGGUAGAAAUUUACAUUGAUGAUGUGGUGGUUAAGUCUGGGGAUUUCACAAAGAAUCUUGCCGAUCUGCGAAAAGUGUUGGAAUGCACAAGAAAACAUGGUUUAAAGAUGAACCCUAACAAAUGUGCAUUUGGUGUGUCGGCAGGGCAGUUUCUUGGUUUCAUGGUGCAUCAGAGGGGAAUUGAAAUUAGCAGAAGAUCUAUCAAUGCUAUUAACAAAAUAGUUGCUCCUACUAACAAGACUGAGCUCCAAUCUCUGAUCGGCAAAAUAAAUUUUAUCGGGCAAUUUAUUUCCAAUUUGUCUGGUAAAAUUCGUGCUUUUAUUCCUUUACUUAAAUUAAAAGCCGAUCAAGAAUUUAUAUGGGGAGAAGAGCAACAGUUGGCCUUAGAUGAAAUCAAGAAUUAUUUGACAAAUCCUCCAGUCUUGAUUCCACCUCAGCAAGGAAAGCCCUUCAGAUUAUAUUUGUCUACCGUUGGGAUGGUCAUCGGCUCGGCUUUGAUUCAAGAAUUUGAAGGGAAGGAGCGUGUGAUUUACUAUUUAAGUAGAAGAUUGAUUGAUGCUGAGACCAGGUAUUCGGCCAUUGAAAAAUUAUGUUUAUGCCUAUAUUUUUCUUGCAUUAAGUUGAGGCACUAUUUGCUAUCGGCCGAAUGCACUGUUAUAUGCAAAGAUGAUGUGGUCCGAUAUAUGCUGUCCAUGCCGAUUAUGAGUGCUAGAUUCAGUAAGUGGAUCUUGGCACUGUCGGAAUUCGAUCUGCGUUACGAAUCAACCAAAGCGGUUAAAGGGCAGAUUAUGGCCGACUUUGUGACUCAACAUCGUGGUGUAGUGGAGACUUUGGAAAUUGUGCCUUAGACGUUCUUCUUUGACGGAUCCACGUGUGACCGAGGGGCAGGAAUCGGUAUAGUGUUAAUUUCCCCUCAAGGAAGGAAGUAUGAGUUCUCUUUGCCGAUUGUUGCCACGUCAACGAAUAAUCAAGCCGAGUAUCAAGCUUUGAUCAAGGGGUUGGAAUUGUUAAAAGAAUUUCUUGCUGAUGCUGUUGAAAUCUUUGGGGAUUCUAUGUUGGUUAUAAAUCAAUUGGCUGGAAGUUAUGAAUGUCGAAGUGAAGUCCUGAUAAAUUAUUACGAAAAAAGUAUGCGACUAUUGAAGGAGUUCAAGGAUUUCCGAUUAGAGCAUGUUCCUCGGUUACAUAAUGAGGAAGCUAAUCGGUUGGCUCAGCAUGCCUCGGGAUAUCAACCCAUACUGAACACGUUAUCGGCAAUCGGUGCCGAUGAUUGGAGAAAGGAGAUUAUUGAUUAUUUAAGGGAUCCAUCUAAGAAGGUUGAGAGGCGUGUCCGGUUUCAAGCUACCAAGUACGUGCUCCUUGAGGAUGAGCUAUAUUAUCGAACAAUCGAUAGGGUUCUUCUCAAGUGCUUAGGUGAUGAUGAAGCUAGAAGUUUGAUGGGAGAAAUCCAUGAAUGAGUGUGUGGAGCACAUCAGUCGGCUUUUAAUAUGAAGUGGAUGAUCAGGAGAAAUGGGUAUUAUUGGCCGACUAUACUCGAGGAUUGCUUUAAAUAUUUCAAAGGGUGUCAAGGAUGUCAGAAAUUUGGCAAUAUUCAAAGGGCGCCCGCAUCGGCCAUGAAUCCCAUUAUUAAACCUUGGCCGUUCCAGGGAUGGGCUAUUGACCUAAUCAGCUAGAUUUACCCACUAUCGAACAAAGGGCAUAAGUUCAUCUUAGUUGCCACUAAUUAUUUCACUAAGUGGGUUGAAGCUAUUCCUUUGAAGAAAGUUACAUCGACUAAUAUGAUUGAUUUUGUGAAAGAGCGUAUUAUUUACCGAUUUGGUAUUCCUCAAACAAUUACUUCUGAUCAGGGUACUAUGUUUACAUCGAGGGAGUUUGAUGAAUUUGUAAUCGGCAUGGGGAUUAAAGUGUUGAAUUCUUCUCCUUAUUAUGCUCAAGCCAAUGGGCGGACCGAAGCGUCUAACAAAGGAAUUAUUAAACUCAUCAAACGAAAGGUUGAAGAAAAUCCUAGAAAAUGACAUACGUCAUUAAAUGAGGCUUUAUGGUCGUAUCGAAUGGCGUGCCAUGGGUCAACUAAAGUUUCACCUUAUCAGUUGGUGUAUGGACACGACACCGUGCUACCAUGGGAGAUUAAGACCGGAUCUAGGCGACUAUCUUUUCAAGAUCAGCUGGCUGUCGAUGACUAUGCUACUUUGAUGAAAGACGAGUUAGAUGAUUUAGCAGGACAUCGCCUGAAGGCUUUGAUAAGUAUAGAAGAGAAUAAAAAGAGAGUUGCCAGAUGGUAUGAUAAAAAGGUAAAGGCUAAGGAAUUUGCCGAUGGAGAUUUGGUAUGGAAACUAAUAUUACCGAUUGGGGCUAAAAGUUCAAAGUUUGGCAAGUGGUCUCCCAAUUGGGAAGGUCCUUAUCGGAUAAGUCGGUCUGCUCCUGGUAAUGCCUAUAUUUUGGAAACUCUCGAAGGAGUUGAAUUUCCCAGAGCAUUGAAUGGAAAAUAUUUGAAGAAAUAUUACCCAAGCAUAUGGGUUGAUGCAUAAAAGGUUUAAGUGCCGAUAACACUCCUAUCGGCUGGGUUGAAAUGUAUCUGGGACUAAAGAUGAUGUUUCAAAAGGGUGCCGAUAACAGUCCUAUCGGCUAGACCAAAAUGUUCAGGAGUUUUUAGAGAAAGAGUGAAGCAUGCCACCGAUGAAGAGUUCAUACAUUCAGCAGGGCUUGGAUGGCUGAUAUAGCGCGCAGACGGAUUUGAUCGGCUUCUUCUAUCUCCUUGAUAUCUUCAUCGGUAGAGCCUUCCACCGGUUUCAGCUUCUUCUUCAUCUGUAGUGCUUUGCGAGCUUGGACGUUUCGCUCUUGUUCGAGGGUCUUGAUCGUCUCAGGCAGCUGACUUUCUUCCUGUUGAGCUUGGGACAGAGCUUCUUCUACUUGUUUGAGCUCUGCCAACAGGGCUUCACUUUGUGCCGAUAGGUCGGAGAUCUUUUGUUUCAGUAUAUCUCCUGAGGAUUUUAGAAUGCCGAUGCUCUUGUGUUUCUCAUCGGCAAGACGCUUUACUUUCAUCACCUCCUCUGAAAGCUGGGCAUGAGUGGCUCUAUCGGCAAGGCGUUGAGUGGCCUUUUGGUACUGGAGCUGUCGACUCUCCAAGUGUGCAGCCUUGAAGAGGAUCUCCUCGACAUCGGCAGGGAUUUGGCCUCUGAGAGCUUUAAACAGAGCCUUAGCCGGAUCGGAGUCAUCAACCAGUUGGGCUGUAUCCUGAUGAAGCAGGGCCAGUAAAUCUUCUAGCUUUGCUCUGAUUUCUACCGAUGAAAUCCCGAUUGCUUGAGAAGAGCUUGCUUCCUCGCCUUCAUCAUCGGAAAUUUCGAUGGCAAAGGAGAACAGGCUAUCGGGGGAAUCUUGUUCCUUAAAAAGAAAAGGAGAUAGGUUAUUUGAUGAUGGAAUGUUAGUAAAAUAAAGGAUGAUAAUCAAAUAGCUUACUUGUUUCAAAGCUAUCUCUCUCCUCUGGCUAGUUGAGGCCGAUGGUACCACAGGUUGAUCGGCCGGAGUUGCCGAUGGGACAAUGUCAGCUAAAAAAUUAACAGGGAUAAUUAUAAGGUGGAAAGAUAGGUCCAUCGGCAAUGAUUUCAUAGAUAGUACUUUACCUCGAGGGGGUGCGAUGCUUGUCUGAAUUGAGGAGACUACUGAUGCUAUGAUUGAGCCUACUGGAUCGGCGGUCUGUUCAUGUACAUCGGCUGAUGUCUCUUCUGGCUGAGGUUCUUCUUGUGGCUGAGGAGGAGACGACACUUGUUGUGUCUGAACCUUUGGUGAAGAAGGGGACGAUUCCACAUGAAUCGGUGACCCUAGAGGAGGUGUUGCUGUUUUCUGACGCUUUGCCUGUGACUUAGUACUCUUGGGGCCCUUUCUCUUAGCUUGACUGGCCUGGGGGGCAUCGGCGCUUGUCUUGGUACUUCUGGUCUUUACUGAUUUGCCGGAUUGCUGAUACAACAACAAAAGUUUCAUAAGUACAAGCGUGACCGAGUUGAUGAAGUUUUGGUUGGAAUAGUAAAAAUUACCGAUGAAGUUCCCAUAGCAGCCGAUGUGUCCUGAAAGAAUUAUGUAAGUAUAGAAUGGAAUCGGUAUAAGUUGAAGAAGUCAAGAAUUUACCUUGAAAGCUUGUGCCAAAGCAGUAGCAGCUACCGAUGGGGAUGUCUUCGCUCAUCUGGUGGUAAUUUUCUUGAAACGCACACCCCGGUGCAUUAAAGCUGCCAAGCUUGGCGCAUUGUUACCGAUCAGAGAGAUCGGGCCCGAUGGGAGAAGUUCGAUCGGCCUUCCGCUCCUGCUGACUAUCGGUGGUGUACCAUCGACCUGAUUAAAGAGAGAGGAAGUAAGUUACCGAUAAAAAUAAAAGUAAUAUAAGAAGAUUGAAGCAUCGGUUGAAAACUUACAGUGUUCUCAGGAAUUUUGUACUUGGGGUCGAUCAUGCUGCGGUAUGUGAGGGCCGAUCUACAGAACAAGUGUUCUUUCCACUCCUCCCACCACUGCUUGUAUGCCUAGGUAAUGAAGAGAGCCAGGAUCCAAGCCGAUAGAUCGACGUCUGUAUCGACAUUUGGUGGAAGUUGAGCUAUUCUGAUCCACUCGAGACCGCUGGUUAUGGUUUCCCUUGGUUUCACCACAUCAGCGUAGCAGAGUGCAAUCGACAGCUGUCCGAAGGCUAGUUGGCGAGCUAGUGCCGAUGGGUUAUAGAACUCAUAGGUCAGAUUGGAGGCUUUCCCGCUACCAAAGAAGUUCACUGGUAUGGCUCUCGGAGUUAUGAUUGCCAUCAUCAGAUCCUGGUCCUUGUUGAGAGCAUUGUCAAAGGGGUGGAAAGUGAGCGGGAAUCUGGUUUCUGGAUCCUCAUAAGGCAUCCAUGCCCGCUGGUCUUUGGCUAAACCCUCAUAGAGAGUCUGAAAGAAUCGGCUGACUUGGUCCUCAUUGCCACCGGUACCAGGUAGAACUAUGGCAGCUUCACCAUAGUUCAGAGGAGAGCGAGUUGCCGAUUCUUCUUCCUCCAACUCAUGAUCUUUGGCUAUGUCUCUUGGAAAACGCUGUGCAAAAAGGUCGAAUCCAAGGCAUUUAUGCAUAUGGACACUGAGCCACAUGUUAACAAACCACCAAGGUCCCCCUAAGUUGCCGAUGGAUUGGCCUAGCAGGAGUUUCUUAGCUACCUGAUGAAGAAGGUGAUAAACAGAGCCGAGCAAGUAUCGGCCAAGAGGAAAUCGGCCACCAUUAGCCAAUCUCUCUGCUGCCGAUAGAUAGACAGAGGUUGGUCCUACCGAUCGGCCACAGAAUACAAACUUAUCUAACCACAUGUUCAAGAAAAUUGUCUGCUCCCUUUCCCCGACAGAUCCUGUUUUUCGGUACUUCUGAAUGUAUCUAGACCAACUGCUGAUAGCGCGAGUCUCUACCUUAGAACUGGGCUUGGUGUCAAACAGAUGACUGUUAUCGGCAGUGGAUAUGUCUAAGCCGGUGAGCAUGAAUACAUCGGCAAGAGUAGGUGAAGCAGGGCCAUGGCCGAGUACAAAAGCAUUGAGCAUGUCUGACCAAAAGUAUGAGGCAGCUAUUAGCAAUGACUCGUUCCUCUCCAUAUUGGCAAGGGAUAAUCUGAUGCACUGGUCUAAUUUCCGCUCACCCCAUUGGACUUCAUUUGAAUGGCUGACUCUCAGGAACCAGUCUUUCCAUCCCUUGGUAGGACUGGGCCAGGAACGAAAGGCAUCUUUCCACAGAUCUAAGGAAAAGUUUUCGGCUCUGAAGGGGAUUCUAUUUGUCUCUGCGUUUAUCAGAUCGGUGGGAUCUGGAUUUCCUAACGGGCCGAGACAUUGGAAGUGAGGUUGAUCGGUGGGAAUUACGAUCUUAUCGGCCAAAUCCUAAGAAGUUUUGAGGAUGAAAGAAUAAAAAAAUGGGGUACUGUUGGUGCAAAAGCUGAUCUGCAAACACAAAGGGCUAAUACCCGAUUUAAACGUUAAGGCGUGCCAGCUGAUUUGACCUUACUAUCGGCAAAGGUAAUAACUCAAAUACUUUGGUCCCGACAACAGCGAUACGCCCGGAUGCCACGGCCAAGAGCUAUUCACGUGGAACUUGAGAAUACGCCGAGCUUAAGUCAACGAACUUCUAAGAACUCGUAAUGAAAAAGGAAAAUAUGACGAAGUCAUCGAAAAAGUAGAUACUGGAAUAUGAGUAGAAACUUGUAUUUGAUUGAUUGAUAGAUUAAUUACAAGGCCCUAGGGUCUAUAUUUAUACCCUACUCAAAGAGCUACAACCAGACACGACUAGAAUUCGAAUUCCAUAUUUAAUCAAAAUCUGUGUACAAAACGAUUUAAAUAACUAAGGAAAACAUAAACCUAUCCUGCCGCGAUAGGCUGAGACACGACCACGGAUCAAUUGGCGACCUCCAAGUCUUCCUUCCAUGUCAUCGGUAGACUCCCCAUCGGCAACGAUUAAUACUGGCCAUCGGCAUAAACACAUCACCAUCCACGGACUUAGCCAUAUUCAGCUGUCUUCUCGUCGGCAACCGCCCUCAUCGGCAACCCUUCUGCAGACCAGUAACCAUUACUCUGUCUUGCCGAUCCACACUCUACCGAUCUUGGAUACGUGUCCAAAAAUGGUGUCAACAGGUACUCAGUAAAAGGAAUCGCAGAUGAAUAGGAGUACAACAAAAGUACAUAAAGAAGAAGGAUGGUAGGCUGACCUUAGGAACGACGAAGUUGAUGGCCAUUUCUUCACGAGGAAGAGGAUCGAAGACUUGGGGGAUUGGUGAAGGAGGCUCUUGCUGAAGUUCUUGGAGUUCUCGGGCAAUGCCGCCGCCAGGAAAGUGUAUUUUGAGCUGUAGAAUGAUAGGAUGGUGAAGGAGUACUGGAGAAGGAAGUAUUUAUAGGACAAAAUGGGCAGGGGCAAAUCUGACUUAUCUCUUUGCCGCAUCCGUGAAAUCCGAGGGUGUUCAGGUGGAUAUGGUAACUGUUCGCACGGUAAUCAAAGGAUUGCGCAGGUGAUUUGACAGCAAGCGGUCAUGAUUUUGGAGAUAUUUUAUUGUGCAAGAUCGCUUGGUCGGCCCAUCGGUAGUUCUCUCUAACGGUAAUAUUGCCGAUGAGCGCAUAAGUGGGGAGAUUUGAUUGGAGAGGUUGAGAAAUUCGAGGAAUCUACAGGGGAAUCGGGUCAAUAUUGUUCAGAUUUGACCGCUGAUCACCCAAAUUGGGAGAAGUAAUUGUAGAAAGGCGUCAUUACUGCAGAGAAUUUUGGAGCAUUAAUGAUUUUAUACUCUGAAAUUGGGGGGCAUGUGUUGACACCGUUUUUGGACACGUAUCUGUUUGACACGUACUUGUAAUUAGUGAAAUGUAGAUCGACAGAUGGGGCAAUGGUGACUAGUCUACCGGGAAGUUGCCGAUGAAGGUGGUUGUCGAUGGGGGACAACUGAAUAUGACUAAGUCCAGAAGUGAUGACUUAUUCGUGCCGAUGACCAAUGCCGGUGUUUGCCGAUGGCUGUAAUAGGUAGUAUGCCGAUGACUCUAGAGAAAAGCGUCGAGGUUGCCGAUUGAUUCGUGGUAGUGUCCCGAUCGGUUACGGGGGAUAGUUUAAUGUUUUCCUUAGUUGUUAGAAUUCGUUUUGUAUGCGGGUUCCGUUUAAUUUGGAUUUUGAGUCCUAGUCGUGUCUGGUUGUAGCUCUUUGGACAGGGUAUAAAUGUAGACCCUAGGGCCAUGUAAUGAGACAUCUAUCAAUCAAUCAAACACAAGUUUUUACUCAUAUUCUAGCAUCUACUUUUUGACGACUUCGUCAUAUUUUCCUUUUUACUACGAGUUCUUAGGAAUUCGUCGAGUCAAACUCGGCGUGUUCUCAAGUUCCGCGUGAGCACCUCUUGGCUGUGACAUCCAGGCGCAUCGCUGUUGUCAGGACCAAAGUGUUCGAGUUACCACCUUUGUCGAUUGUAAGGUCAAAUCGGCUGGCACGCCUUAACGUUUGAAUCGGGUAUUAGCCCUUUGUGUUUGCAGAUCAGCUUUUGCACCAAUAAAUAUAUACAUUUAUAGCACAAAUCAUGAAUAAUUUAGAUUAAAAACAGGGAAGAAUCAGUAGACAUACCUUAGGUCCUUUGUAUGAUUACUGAAUUUCCAGUAGCAGUGCUGCAAUAGAAGUGGACAACACUUUUAUAUGCAAUUGGGCAUCAAUACAAGUGACACAAAAAAUAGAAAAUAGCAAGUUAGGUACUUAUCUGUGGUCUGAGCCUUCUCCCAUCCAUUAUCAACAUUUCAGCAGCAUAGGAUAGGUAUUUUAAAUCACAAACAUGAAGGGACAACAAGCAACAACACAGAAUAUAAAAUGGAUAGCAAACUAACAGUACAUUACAUCACAUGAUUUUAGUUCUCAGAACACCAAACACAAGCACACAACAGCAAAGAGUUCUAAGUUCAUAUGUUAAAGAUACAUGAAGCACACAAGAUAAUAAAAGCUGAAAAUAUGACAUGAAGCUCUCACACACACUUCUUCAGUAGGGUUCUUCAUCUUCCAUCACAUAGUCAUCCUCUUGCUCAUCAAACUCUUCUUCUUCGGACUUAAAGUCUUCUUCAUGGAGCUGUCUCACCCUUGGACUUCUACGCAACUCUAGUUGUUCUUUUGCUCCCAUUGCAUCUCCAAUUACAGACCAAGGUAUCACUGUAUCUUCCAUCUGUUCCUCAUCUUCCUCAUCUCUAAAUACAACUAAUGCACACUCAUCUCCAUUCUCUUGGAGGAAACCUUGUGCUUCAGUUGUAUCACUAGAAGCAAGAACAUCAGUAAUUUUCUUUGACUUAAUCUUUGCUCUCUUAUUCAUCAGCCUGUUGUUGAAUUGAAUGAAGACCAACUUUUCAAGGCGGUCUGUAGUCAGCCUAUUCCUCUUCUUAGUGUGCACCUUUAAAUUAAGAAUAAGGGCACUUUUAGUUCUACAAUAUAAUUGAAAUGCUGCUGAAAUUUUGAUUACAGAUAGGCACUAACCCCAUCAAAGCCACUCCAAGUUCUUUCAUAACCAGAAGCACUAGAUGUCAAAGAUAAGAUCUUUGUAGCCAUCUUCUGUAGAGCUGAUGUUUUAGUUUAAUACAGGCUCCACCAUGAUGCUGAAAUGAAAAAUGUCUCUAUUAGUUAGUAGUUUACAACAAAUUUCUUGUUAGAUAAACACAACAAACAACAAUGUGAAAUCAGCAAACAUCUUUUACCUAGCCUAUAAUCAAAGUUCUCAUAAGUCCUUGCAAGUUUCUUGCUAAAUGGUCCAUCUCUAUUCUAAAACUUCUGGAGUUCAAAGUUGGCAGCUUGUGUUUGCAUCUCUUCAUCAUGAUAAUAGAAAGUCUCGACACAACUGAUAAAUGCUACUGACAUUUUGGGAGCAUCAAAGAUUGAAGGGUCAACAUAGCUGUAGUGUGGAUUCAACAAAUAUGCUGUCAAAUGCAAUGGUGAAUCAAGUCUGCCACCCAUCUUCUUGUCUACAAUUUCAAUAAUAUCCUUGAAACAGGUCUCAAUAUUGACAAGAGCCUCUUUGAUCUGUCUCUUUGCCUUCAAUAGUUCUCCAUAUACAAAACCCACGGAUGGCUUCACAUCUCCAUCAACCAUAUGGAGAACUUUGAACAAUGGCUCAAAAACAGCUAUGGUCAACUUCACAUCCUUCCAAAAGCUUGCACAGAAUAUAGUUGCUGUGGCAUUUUUUCCCUUCUUUGAUUUCACCUCCUUCAAUGAGUCCCACUUACUAUGCACAACCAUCUUUCUUAGCUGGUCCUUCUUCUCUUGUAUGCUAUUCAAAGUCAAUUAGUUGGAAGCUGUCGACGAAAGCUGGUCGCCAGUCUACCUUGGGGUAUACCCACGACAGUAGUUUAUCGGUAGACGAUGCGCAAGCUAUGAACUUGAUGGUGACGCAAGACACAGACAAGCUUUUUAUCCAGGUUCGGCCGCCGUGUGGGCGUAAUACCUACGUCCUGCGUCUGGUUGUAUUGGAUUGUGUUGAGAGAUAAUGUGUCCUAGGGGGGUCCUUUGCCCCUCCUUAUAUAGUCCGGAGGGCAGGGUUACAGAUUUGGAAACUAAUCCUAGUCGGCUACAAUUGCCAUAGAUAGUACAAUAUCAAUUCCUACUCUAACCGACUAGAAUCUGGCUUGAUCUCCACGCCUUGUUUCCUUGCGCGAAACUCCGAGCAGUUGGAUCAAGCCUCGGACUGUCUUCAUGAUGGGCCAAGCCUCCUGGCCCAAGUCUAGCCGUAAGGGUAUAUGGGUUUAUACCCCCACAGCUAGUCCCCGAGCACCAUGUAUUGUGAUGUAACACGCCGUCUUGAGCUUCUUCGACCAGGAAGAAUUGAGAUUUUUGACGACCAGGAAAGUCGCCUAGGCAGUUGCAACUGUAUUUCGACCAACUUGAAAAUCAGUUGACCAACAUCAAUGUCGAAGAAGUCGGUUGUUCGAAGAAUGCAUGGUGCUCUUGAGAAGAAAUAUUCUUUCCCCUGGUGAAGUGUGCCCACUUUACUUUUCCAAAAAGUAUAGACCUCCACAAAGCAAGCAUAAUCACCGCAAGGUGAAGUGUGCCCACUUAGUCUCCGAGUCUGGUAGUAGGUGACGUAGGCACGUGGUGCGAGGGUCUAGAGAGAAAACCAUAUAAAAAAUCUGAUACUGAAAUGCAUUGCCAGAUGCAUCGUACCGAUGUAGUCCCCGAGCUUGCUGGAAGGUGAAGUAUGAGCCUUGUAGCAAGGUCUAAAAAAUUCAAUUUACCAGUCCCCGAGCAUAUCGUUCUCAUCCACAACCGAAAUAAACUAAUCAUCCAAUCUCCGAGCGUAUCAUGAUCAUCUGCAAUGGAACAGACUAGCCGACCAGUCCCCGAACAUAUAACGCUCUGUGGUCGGUACAUUCCCAAACUCUCAAAUUGGUAGGCUGGUCGACCAGUCCCCGAGCGUAUAAUGCUCGGAUUAGUCGGUACAGUCCCCAUGUUCUUAAAUUAGCGAGCUGGUCGACCAGUCCACGGGCAUACAGAGCUCGGUGGUCGGUACAGUCCCCAUGUUCUCAAAUUGGUGAGCUGGUCGACCAGUCCCCGGGCAUACAGUGCUCGGUGGUCGGUACAGUCCCCAUGUUCUCAAAUUGGUGAGCUGGUCGACUGCUCUGUCUUGGCGACCAUCCCGCCUUGUUGAAAAGGGAUUGGAUGUGCUGUGAGUAGUGAACGGCUGAGUUAUUUAGCCCAUAGGGAGGACUCUAGUCUGGGUCUGCCUUGAGUUCGACGGAUCGCCCUGUGGGGGUGGAAGUUAUUGUCAGAGACGUCCCCAGCCGUUCGUGUGUGACGACACGAGUUGGCCGGCAGGAGUCGAAAGAGUCCGUCGGCGCGACUUGAUCAGAUUGGCGCGAGAUCCCAUCUACUAGUCGGGAAGCUUCGAGGAGUCUGAGAUCGGCGUGAUCGAGGGCUCGGAAAAGAUCCGAGUCGUCGACCUUCUUUCCCCUGUAACGAGGGAGCGGUGGUCGAGUGCUCGGUGUCAGCGUGAUCGGAGUCGACGCCACUGUCGUCCCAGAUCGGAUCUGGGUUUCUUCCGAAGUCGUGGUCGUGAGGCCUCCGCCAUGAGUCGUCCACGUGAUCUGGCCGACGGUGAACGUGAGGCCUUCAGGCACGGCUGCGGAAGCUGGAACGAUGACCGUCUUGUUCGCCGAGAGAACUGUACGCACACCCCCUACCUGGCGCGCCACUGUCGACGAAAGCUGAUCGGCAAUCUACCUUGGGGUAUACCCACGGUAGUAGUUUAUCGGUAGACGGUGCACAAGCUAUGAACUUGAUGGUGACGCAAGACAUAGACAAGCUUUUUAUCCAGGUUCGGCCACCGUGUGGGCGUAAUACCUACGUCCUGCAUCUGGUUGUAUUGGAUUGUGUUGAGAGAUAAUGUGUCCUAGGGGGGUCCCUUGCCCCUCCUUAUAUAGUCCGGAGGGCAGGGUUACAGAUCUGGAAACUAAUCCUAGUCGGCUACAAUUGCCAUAGAUAGUACAAUAUCAAUUCCUAUUCUAACCGACUAGAAUCCGGCUUGAUCUCCACGCCUUGUUUCCUUGCACGAAACUCUGAGCAGUUGGAUCAAGCCUCGGACUGUCUUCAUGAUGGGCCAAGCCUCCUAGCCCAAGUCUAGCCGUAAGGGUAUAGGGGUUUAUACCCCCACAGAAGCAAACCUAGUCACUCCUGGCCUUACUAUCUCUUUGCCAUCAGUGAAGCUUCUCAUGCACUCUAGUGUUCUUGUGUGGUUGUAGACAAAUAUGGUGAAUGCCUUUGCUUGGUCGACCACCUUCUUGAAUCGAGGCAAAUUGCAAAUUCCUUGGAGCAUCAAGUUGAUAGUGUGAGUUGCACAAGAGGUCCAAUAGAUGUGUGGUCUCUUCUCUUUCAGUAGCUUCUUUGCUCCCAUGUUGUUAAAAGCAUUGUCAGUCACAACUUGCACCACAUCAUCUUCACCAAUGUCUUCAAUUGCUUUGUCCACUAGUUCAAAGAUAACUUCACUUGUGUGUGACACAUCUGACACCUCUUUUGAAGUAACAAAAUUGGUUCCUUCAGCACAAUUAGUGCACACAUUAAUUAUGCUUCUCCUCUUCUUAUCUGACCAAGCAUCAGUCAUAACAGAACACCCAUAUUCUUCUACCAGAAAUCUGCCUCGCAGGUCAAACAUAGUUGGAAGUUCAAAUCCUGCCCCAAAUUGACCAAUUGCUUCACACAUUUGCUUGAACUCAUCAUUGUCACAUGCAUUGAAUGGAACAGCUGCCAAUGUUAGAGAAAAAAAAGGAAAUUAGUAAGGAAAUCUGAUGAUAAUGCAAUCUGAAAUACAAAUACAGCAAGUAAAAGGAAAUAUAAAUACAACAAGGAAAAGGAAAUUACCACGGUUAAAUGCCCAUCUUGCAAUAUAUUUCCACACUUAAUGUAAUCUUUCUUUCCAAAGCUCCUUGUUCAGCUUCUAUUGAGUCAAAGAUUCAAUUCUGGUUGUUGUAGGAUCAAUAUGCUGCUUCAACCGAUAAACCGCUCCAAACAUUUGCUUGUCACAGAGUAGGCACUUCACAUUGUCCUUGUUGCUUGGAUUAACAAGAACCCCAAACUCCCAUCCCACAUCAAAUGAAUUCCUUCUCAAGACACUUGCUCCCUCUGUUGCACUUGCCUGAGCCUCUGUUCAUGUCAUCUGAAGAUGGCAACAAAAUCUUAACUGAAUAUAUGCAUGAAAUUUCACAGAUCGGUCAACAAAUACUUGGAAUCAGAAGAUGGCAACAAAAGCUUGACUGAAUAUACAAGUAUAUGCAUGCAAUUUCACAAAUUCAUCAUGCAUUCAUUGAUUCACAAGAUAUACAACAUGCAAUUAGUCAAGAAUAUCAUAGAUACAUACAUACAGUCCACAAUUUCACAGAUUCAUCAAGGAAUCAGAAUCAAUCAAUCACGAAUUUCAGGUUUCAAGAAAGGAAAUAGAGGAAAAAUACAAAGAGAAAGGAAACAGAGGAGAGGAGAGAGGCAGAGGAGAAAGGAAACAAAGUAGAGGAGAAAGGAAACAUACAGACCUUGGGGCUUCGGCUGAGGGAGGAGACCGGCGUUGGGGAGGACCUGCAGCUGCAUCUGCGUAGCCGUCGGGGAGGAGCAGCCGCCACGCAGUCCGAGCAGCAGGCGCGCGGUGAGGAGGACGAGCAGCAGGCACGCGGUGAGGAGGACGAGCAGCAGGCACGUGGUGAGGAGGACGAGCAGCCGCGCGGUGACCAAUUGUUGCGGAAGCAAUGAGGUGUUGACUGAAAAUUGCACACCUCAUUGCUUCAAUCCAUUAUUUGUAACAAAUAAAUUAUUUUAUUUAUUUAUUUAUUUAUUUUUGUAUGGUGAUAGUUUUGAGCUGCAACUUAUGAAGAAGCAGUUCCUACAUGUAUUUGAACCUUUGAUUUGGCAAGAGGAGUCAAAUCUUUAGUUAAUACAUAUGGUUUAUUUAGAGUUGCCUUAAUACCAAAACUAUUGCUAUUUCUACUCCUACUUCUUCGCCAACUGGACAUUACAAUUAUAGUGCAUAUAUGUGAAGAGUUUAUCUUGGACCUAGCUUUGCCCAGGUUGGAUGGAACCGUAAAGAACUCGAGCUAGCCUUAUUUAUCUCUCAUGUCAAGUUUUUAGCUCUCUCUGUAACACGUGGACAAAGUUUUUGACGUUAUAUUAUGAUAAUGGAUGGCCUGUUUUUUAAAAAAAGGAUAAGAUGGCUAAAAAAAUAAGACUAGACAGAUGAUUCAUUAUUGUUAUCAUUCCAUACAUAGAAGUUUAGCGAGAAGUAUGGGAGUCUAGCCAACUUCUAACAAGGCUACAAUAUGAGACAAAAUGUUCCUUGUCUUAACGUGCACGUGUAUGGUGUCGCUGAAUCCUAACGUGCACAUGUAUGCUGUCGCGAUGGCCUCUUUUAUGUAUCUAGUAUGUUAUCCAUUUGGUUCGUGCUAAAGUCAACGGUCUGCACAAUAAGAGUGAAAUGGUCGUCUCAUCAUAUUAAAAAAAUGUUUUUUAUAACAAUAUAACAUGUUUAAAGUAUCAUGACAUUAUUUAUUUUCAUUAAAACACAAAUUUUCUCAUGUGCACCAAAGCUAGCUUCCCCCUCGAUCCAGAUUCAGUGACUUUGCUUUAGCAAGUCACCUUGUAACUUUACCCCAAUCUCCUCCAUCCAUUCUUCAUCUGAUGGUGUUGGUGCAAAAGCUGAUCUGCAAACACAAAGGGCUAAUACCCGAUUCAAACGUUAAGGUGUGCCAACCGAUUUGACCUUACAAUCGACAAAGGUGAUAACUCGAACACUUUGGUCCCAACAACAGUGAUGCUCCCGGAUGUCACGGCCAAGAGGUGCUCACGCGGAACUUGAGAACACGCCGAGCUUGACUCGACGAAUUCCUAAGAACUCGUAGUAAAAAGAAAAUAUGACGAAGUCGUCGAAAAAGUAGAUGCUGGAAUAUGAGUAAAAACUUAUGUUUGAUUGAUUGAUUGAUAGAUCAUUACAUUGCCCUAGGGUCUACAUUUAUACCCUGUCCAAAGAACUACAACCAGACACGACUAGGACUCAAAUUCCAAAUUAAACGGAAACCGUAUACAAAAUGAAAUCUAAUAACUAGGGAAAACAUUAAACUACCCCCCGUAACCGAUCGGGACACCAUCAUGAAUCAAUUGGCAACUUCCGUGCUUUUCUUCAGAGCCAUCGGCAGAUUAUCUGUCCACAGUCAUCGGCAAACAACGACAUUGGUCAUCGGCACGAAUACGUCACCACUUCUGGACUUGGUCAUAUCCGAUUAUUUCCCAUCGGCAGCCACCUUCAUCGGCAACUUCCCUACAGACAGGUCACCAAUGCUUCAUCUGCCGAUCUAUAUCCCCUUAAUUCCAGAUGCGUAUCAAAAGAUACGUGUCCAACAACGGUGUCAACACAUGCCCCCCAAUUUUGGAGUAAAAUAUUUCCAAAAUCAUGACCGUUUGCUGUCAAAUCACCUGCGCAAUCCCUUGAUUAUCGUGCGAACAGUUACCAUAUCCACCUGAACACCCUCGGAUUUCAUGGAUGCGGCAAAGAGAUAAGUCAGAUUUGCCCCUGCCCGUUUUGUCCUAUAAAUACUUCCUUCUUUGGUACUCCUUCUCCAUCUUAUCAUUCUACAGCCCAAAGUCCACUUUCCUGGCGGCGGCAUUGCCCGAGAACCCCAAGAACUUCAGCAAGAAUCUCCUUCACCAAUCCUCCAAGUCUUCGAUCCUCUUCCUCGCGAAGAAAUGGCCAUCAACUUCGUUGUUCCUGAGGUCAGUCUACCAUCCUUUGUCUUUUCGCACCUUUGCUGUACUCUUAUUCAUCUGCGAUUUUUACUGAGUACCCCUUUUUUCUUUUUGCUCUUUCAAAACUUUUAGGAUUUGGCCGAUAAGAUUGUAAUCCCUACCGAUCAACCUCACUUCCAAUGUAUCGGCCCAUUUGGAAACCUAGAUUCCACCGAUCUAAUAAACGCAGAGACAAAUAGAAUCCCUUUCAGAGUCGAAAACUUUUCCUUAGAUCUGUGGAAAGAUGCCUUUCGUUCCUGGCCCAGUCCUACCAAGGGAUGGAAAGACUGGUUCUUGAGAGUCAGUCAUUCAAAUGAAGUCCAGUGGGGUGAGCGGAAAUUAGACCAGUGCAUCAGACUAUCUCUUGCCGAUAUGGAGAGAAACGAGUCACUGCUGAUAGCUGCCUUGUAUUUUUGGUCAGACACGCUCAAUGCUUUUGUAUUCGGCCAUGGCCCUGCUUCACCCACUCUUGCCGAUGUACUCAUGCUCACCGGCUUAGACAUAUCCACUGUCGAUAGCAGUCACCUGUUUGACACCAAGCCCAGUGCUAAAGUAGAAACUCGCGCUAUCGGCGGUUGGUCUGGAUAUAUUCAGAAGUACCGAAAGACUGGAUCUAUCGGGGAGAGGGAGCAGGCAAUUUUCCUAAAUAUGUGGUUGGAAAAAUUUGUGUUCUGUGGCCGAUCGGCAGGACCAACCUCUGUCUAUUUAUCAGCAGUAGAGAAACUAGCCAAUGGUGGCCGAUUUCCUCUUGGCCGAUACUUGCUCGGUGCUGCUUAUCACCUCCUUCAUCAGGUAGCUAAGAAACUCUUGCUAGGCCAGUCCAUCGGCAAUCUAGGGGGACCCUGGUGGUUUAUCAACAUGUGGCUCAGUGUCCAUAUGCACAAGCGCCUUGAAUUUGACCUUUUUGCACAGCGCUUCCCUAGAGAUAUAGCUGAAGAUCAUGAGUUGGAUGAAGAAGAAUCGGCAACUCGCCCCCCUCUGGACUACGGUGAAGCUGCCAUAGUUCUGCCUGGUACCAGUGGCAAUGAAGACCAGGUUAGCCGAUUCUUUCAGACUCUUUAUGAGGGUCUGACCAAAGAACAACGGGCAUGGAUGCCUUAUGAAGAUCCAGACACUAGAUUUCCCCUGACUUUUCAUCCUUUUGACAAUGCUCUCAACAAGGACCAUGAUUUGAUGAUGGCAUUCAUCACUUCGAGAGCUAUACCGGUGAGUUUCUUUAGCAGUGGGAAAGCCUCCAACCUUACCUAUGAGUUCUACAAUCCAUCGGCAUUGGCUCGCCAAUUGGCUUUUGGGCAACUACCGAUUGCGCUAUGCUACGCCGAUGUGGUGAAACCAAGGGAGAUUGUCACUGUUGACGGUCCUUAAGUACCAAAUAUAAUCAUCAAAUAAAUAAAGAAAAGGAUCCAAAUGCAACCAACACCUAGACUUAGGGUUUUAUCUGACAGAAUUCCACGAGUUUUGGUGUUUGUCUAUUUCUGCAGGGGGUUAUCAGGAAAUAUGGAAGAAAGGCCCACACGUCGGGAUUACAUAGAGAUAUUAACGUGCCGCGCAAUUAUCUUACACCUAGAAGACUCCAGAAGCCACGGGAAGGAAGCGGAGGCCGAACGGGGCCAGGCACUGGGCGCCCGCCCUCUGUUGGAUUCGAUUUAGAACUCUCUUCGCGGACUAAGCUCCACCGACCUAAAGGAUCAAGGAUAACCGUCCAAUCAAUGUCAGUUUGAUCCAAUGGCUCACGUUCACUUGAGGGGACUAUAAAACCAGACCCCCUGGCCCCUGGAGGAGACAAGUUCAUCAUAGAGUUGAGAGGAGCCCUCGAAGGAAUACCUCUCCUCUAAAUAAAAUUUCUUUUAGGCUUAGCAUCCAAUGUGAGUAGAAUUAGAUCUUCUAGUUUCUACUAGAUUGAGAGAUAUAGAGUGGAGGUGUAGAUCGGAGGAAGCCCGGCCUGUCGGUGUCUACUCCGAGGUUGUACCUGCUGGAUCAAGUCUUCUAACCCGAGGCUUGCUCCUAGGAUUCUUCAGUAUUUCGACUUCUAAUUCUAGUAAGUUCUUGUUUUAUUGUUCUUUGGUUUAUGAGUUUACUUUAAUCUGUUCCAGUUGAGUAUUAGAGUAAUCAUUGCUAGCGUAAACGUGGUGUUUUGGCUAGGGUACUCAUAGAUAUCCCCUGACUAGCUGCACUGUGGUAGUAGCGAGGAACGUGAAAUUUCUGAGUUACCUUUGCAGCCCACAUCUCGUUAGUAGGACGGGUGUCACAGAACCGACCAAAUUAUAAGAGUUCAAGUAUAGAAACGAUCGACAAGCAAUCAAGUUUCCAAACUUGAGCCCAUAUAAUCCCGGUAGUCAACUGAAAUCACGAAGGACUUCAACCAACUUGCAACAAACCAAGAUCGUAAUAGUUCAACACAAACACAGCGAAUGUUACAUAGCCAUUCAUUGCCGACGAAGCGGCACCACAUCGGAGUUAUUAAGUUAUUACAACACAUGUUCGAAGCAGUGUUAUCCUAAACGCUAAACGGUAAACAGUCGGUCACCCUUCGUUUAGCGUUUAAACUGUUUAGACGGUGUUUAAACGGAUUAAAACGGUCUAAACGGUUUUACACAAUAUUACAAAAAUAUGCAUAUUUUUAAUGUAAAAUCAAUCAUUCUAUCAUUUAUACAUAUUUAUGCAACUAAAAAACCAUUUAUUUUAUUAUGUAUAUAUGUUUAUGCAUGUUAAAUGAAUCAAAUAUACAUAUUUAUGCAUGUAACAAAUCAAUUUUACAUAUUUAUAAAUAUAAUAAAUUUAAGUAUACAAAUUGUUGAUAUAAAAUUCAACUAGAUUCACCUAGUGUUUGCCUAAACGGCCGUUUAAACAGCCGUUUAGCAUGUUUAAUACUGUUUAGAACCGUUCCGUUUAGGCCGUUUAGACCGUUUUUUCCCUUUUUUGACCGUUUAAACGGUCAACCGUUUAAUUUCCUGUUUACCCCUAAACAAAACAGUUUACCACCGUUUACCGUUUAAUGACCGUUUAAUCGGCCGUUUAGGCCGUUUAGGCGAACACUGGUUCGAAGUAGCGGAAGCAAAAUAAUUACACACACUUUCCAAAGUUCAUUUCACAAGUUCUUGUUCAGGUAGGGUCUCAUGCCAUCCAUCCAAAAGCAACAGAUACGAAGUGGUUAGAGAACUGUGCCCAACGGUUAGUCCUCAUCCCCAGCGGGAUGGAGACAGGUCUUGCAGAAGCCAUCAUAAUAGAUAUCAUCUACAACAGGUGGGAAUAAACCCUGAGUACGAGAAUGUACUCAGCUAGACUUACCCGUCUAGUAAAACAUAAAAGACACCAAGGAUCAUGCAAUGCUAAUAUCAAGUGGAGCUGGUUGACUCAACAUUUGACAAAAGCUUAACUUACAACUACAAUGUUGUGCGAGCCUCAUUUAAUCAUCAUCAGCCUACCACUAGAUUAGCACCUGUACUAAAGCACUUCACUUGAUUAUUACAAGCAAUAAUAACCAUAUCAAGCUCAUCAUGUGUUCUUCCUUGCUAUCAUCAUUAUCAUGAACCGAGUUCUUUAGUGAAUGCUACGUUUGCCGCUGCUCUGUCAAGUUCUCACUGACCGGGAGAGACGGCGAUUCAAAUCGAAUUCCUAUCCAGCUGGAGGGGUAUUCCUAGCACUCACCCAAGCAUCACCCGUCGGAGAGCCAAUUGGUCACCUUUGGUACGACUCAGGAAUCGCGGUUCCGAUCAGCGCCCAACUCCCAGGGCUACCACUCUGUCAGGGAGGUCAAGAAUUUUAACUCACCUGCCUUUGGACUUAUGCCAAUGGUCCUCCGCACACUACACUUCCUCCGGUAGUGCGCACUUUAUACUUAUCGACCUUCCGGCCUGAGUCAUAUUACUUGGCUUCGCGGUCGGAACGAGUUAUCCGGCCAACUAAGUGUUAGGCAUGCGUUCAACAAGACAAGAGGACGUACAACGGUCGGUCCUUAACUGCCACAGACGGAGUUACUACAACCUUACAAAACUCCGCCCGGCUUAAGUCUAAUUAAUCAGGUUCCAUCCACGAUAGCACAUAUAGUCCAUCGUGAUCCAACAUAACCCUAUAUCGCGCAGGUGACAGGAAAUCACCCGACUUCUACCGAUUAAAGCAUGGCUAAGCUGCUACUCGAUCCUAUUCUAUAACCAGGGAGUGGUAAUAUAUCUAGACAAGGAUGGAGUAAAAUGCAGCAAAGGUUUCAUCACAACUCCUAUACCUAAUGCAUCAAUAGAUAUAACAUAUUAAAUAAACUUUUCAAAAGUAAAGGGAGACUUAGAAUGCUCCGGGGCUUGCCUUUCACGAACGAAGCUGGCUCAUGGUUCGGGCACUCAACUUCUUCUUCAGGCUCCUCGAGUUCGGCUUGCUGGACCUCCACCUCCGGGUUGCCCUCCUGGCCUUUGGGGUUCACUUGCAGCUCGAAGGAAGCGGUCGCGUCCGAUGCACCUAUUGCAUGCUCAAUGAAUAAGAAGAUGUGCAUACUAAAGGAUGAAUGCUUGAUACAUAAUUAAACUCACUGGACACUCAUUUACGGAGUAACAGUUAUAACAAGGUCACACAAGAUGACAAGUUAACUUAGCCAAAACCUACCAAGUUAAAUCAUAACAAGAAGCAUCACAUAACAGAGCAGCUCAGUAAACAAACCAUAACUAUUGCUACAAAGAUCCAACAAACUUAAGUGAGAACAUUCUGGAAAGCUUAUGAAAUUGUCUACAAAUAAUCCUUGAACAUCACAGCAAGAUUCAUAGGUUAACUACAUCAUUUAAACAAAGUUCCAGGUUGUAUCCCAGAAAAACAGAAAGCACCUAUUUCUGGAACCCAACUUGGAACAGCCAUAACUUUCAAACUACUGGACCAAUUGAUCCCAAAUUUAAACCACAGCUAGCUCAUAAAGUUUACAACAACUUUGAUUUAGACAAGUUUCCCAGACAGCUCAGAUAUCAACAAGUCAAAGUUGAAUUACUCCCUUGCUGUCCAGAACAGCCUUUAAUCCCUUUAAUUAAUUAUUUGAUGACAUAACCAAAACAUAAAUAGUGCCAACCAAAUAGCUUAUCAGCAUAAACACAACAUAAGACAACCAGAACAUGAUAUGAUGACCUCCAAACAUUUACUUAACAAGGCAUUUAUUAAUUUAAUUCUAGAAAGGAGCAUAAUUACAGAAUACUAGUAAAAGUACUCAGAAAAAUCUACAAAAAUUACAGAAGCACAAGCAUAGCAUCACAACACCACCAUAAAAUUCUCAGAGCAAAUGCACAUGCCAAAUUAAAGAUAGGCAUUUAACAUGUGACAAGGUGUUUAUUUCAUAAAUUCAGAAACAUGGCUUACAUGGUGUCAAACAGCAGAUUUCAGAUUAUUUACAUGUUACUAAUACCAAAACAAGUUUGCCACCCAAGUAGAGCACCAGCAUAAGCACCAAUUAUUUGCUAUGAUUUUAAUAAGGAAACAAGCCAUAUCUUAAUCAUAAAUUACCUAUCACAGAUAUAGUACUCCAAAAAUCAUGAAAUAUUUAUCAUAGUAUCCUAGUAUCACACAGAGGCUUCCAUAAAAUUUUUAUAGCAAAAUAAGCAGUAUAACAAGAGAUAUGAAUUUAUUCAUGAAAAAAAGAUUAAAUCCUAAUAAAUACUUUCCCAGAAAACAUGGUUCAUUUUAUAUUUUUAUUAAAAACUAGCCAUCUCAAGGAACAUCACAAAAUUGGUUUCACAAAUUUUGGAUCCACAGAAACAGAGAUAUGAUUUUUGCAAGAAAGCCAAAAACCUGGAUUUGAAUAAAAGAAUAGGAGGGAAACAAGUGUCACUGACAGCGGACCCCACGCGUCAGGUUCUUCUCCCUCACAGCCGAGGCGACUCUCGCCGGCGAUUUCUCCAUGACAGCGAGGUCUCCAGCCAAACCAAGGGCACCAACGUGAUCCCCAGACCUUUGCGACUCGAUUGACCCCCUUUUUCCCACGGCGGAGCCACCGGAAAGGGCUCGCCGUCGAUCAUGGCGGCUUGGCGGAGGUGCUCGGCGUUACGCCGGAGCCCUCAGGCCGGUAGAGCGUGACCUAGGGUUUCCUACAGCACUAGCGGACUACGGCGAAGCUUCCUAGGUAGGCGGCUUGGCUUGAAACGGCGUGGAACACGCUGGCCACGAGAGACCCUUACUCCGGCGGAAACACGGCGGCGCUGCGCAUCGUGUCCGGCGACGGUGAGUGCGGUAGAGCGUCCACCAAAUGGCGCAAAUGCUCGCUAAGAACCUAAGCUACCUCUAGGACCUAACCAGAGGAGACGAGAGGCUCCGAGGAGCUCAGCAUUGAGUUCGCCAGAGAAGAUGGUCACGGCGACCCGAUUUGGGGGAAGAAGGAAACGGCGGUUCACCGGUGGGUUUCGCGGCGAGCUAGCGGGUGGAGAGUGGAGAGCGGUUCACGGCGGAGCUGUGGGCGAGGUUUGGUCGACAGCAACGCAGCGAGGAGCGCGUACGAGCUCGGCGGAGUGAGCUCGCGGCGGUUAGCUCGCUGCGGCCGCGUUUCUGGCGAGAGAGGGCGAGGCAGAGAGCAGUGGACGCGUCCACUUCGCUCGGGACGUCGCCGUGGAGGACAUGCGCGCGCUGGGAGCUGACGAGCGAGGCCAGGAGCGACGUACGGAUGCCAAAUGUCGACGGAGCUCUGCCGCCGGUCGGCCACGUCGAUGAGCUCGGCCUUGAUUCAGUUAAAACGAUGGCCGACUAAAAGAGCUACUUUGACAGCGAUUAACUCCCAAACCAGAGCGAGUUAGGAGAUGAUGCAGUUGACAAAGUUGGAGUACUAGCUGAGUUCUACAACAUUGUCAAUUGGAGCAAAAGCUAGAUCGUCCUGGAUUGAGAGAUAUAAAGUUUUCAAAAUCGAUCGAGCAAACUGUUUGUGUUCCCGGACUUAGAAAAUUUUCCAAGUGUUGGAAACAGCCCCAAAUCUGCAUUGUGGUUCAGUUUUGAGCUAGUUGUGAUCAUUUUCAUGAGAUGGCCAUAAAACAACUUUUGUUCCUUAUAAAAUUUGCGACAACUUUGCUGUAGAAAGUUUUGACAUGCAAACAUUUUAUGAAACACUUUUUAAAAGCCUAAGCAAAAGAGGUUUCUAGAGCCUACUUGAGUAAGUAUGACUUAAGUGAGUAUUUUGGAGAAAUGACCAACAUGAACGUUGCUCCUAAGGUUGAGUUAAACAUAGAUAAACUAAUUACCAAGGCAUAUAGCACAAACACAAGCAUGGUUCACUCAAGCAUAAGCAUAGGGAGCCUAUUUAACCAUUUAAAUCACAUUUUUGCAUAAAAUGACAUGGCUCAAGGUAGAUGAUGAUCAUGAUAUUCUUUGAGUAGAAGAUGAUGCUCAUGUUAUGCAUGUGAUUUAUGCAACCAUAACACUGGGGUGUUACAGCGGGUAGGUUUAUAGGUGCGGGUCGAACAUCCUUUGUGGUGUCUAGAUUCCGUAAGCUUCCCCAAUAGAACAGUAGAUCAUCCUUACCAAGGUUAGAACGAGACUACGGUUGCAGUCUUCUCUAUACAUCGCUCACAUCGAGAAACAUUCUUUGUAGCCUAAAGGGAUAGUAGCAAUAGAUUUGGUUAGUCAGAUGCACCCUUUCUCCCAGUGGUAAAAAUAUAAAUACGAUACUCUGGAAAACCUCCCGGGUGAAAUGCUCACCGAUAUCUGUGAGGUUGCAGGUCAUUUCUUGAUGGCGUUACCAAAUAUCAACAAGCAUUUCUGGCGCCGUUGCCAGGGAGAAAGAUGGUUUGCUGAGAUAACUUUGAGUCUUGCUAUUAUCUUGUAUUAUACUUUUAUACUUUUAUACUUUUAUCUUUUUAUUUUUUUUUCCAUCUUUAUGGAUAACUCAAAUUCCAUACCUAUUAUUGAAUUCUUUGCACCUUCGGAGACCAGCCAUAGACCAUGGGAGUCAACAAGUCCUUUCUUUUCCCCUAAUUAUGAUUUGUGUCCGGAGUUGAUGGUAAUAGGUCAAAACCAACCCUUUUCUAUAGUUGAGGUCCUAUCUUUUAAUCAAGAAGAUAAUGCACUUUUAGCUACACAUAGGGAAUCUGUUAAUCUUUCUAUAAAUUCUGGUUUAGACCUAGCCCUACAAGACCAUGUUUUUUCUCAAUAUUUUCACAUUGGUCUUAAUCAUAUAACCGUUGGUAGAGUCUUUCUUUCUUUAUCUAUUAGUAAAGGAAGGUAUAUCUUCAUUCAUGGACAUCCUUCUUGCACUAGUCUUCAUAAAAAAUUCCUAGAGAUAGAGAAGGAAUCAUCUCCCAGACAAGGAAAGGAAGUUUUAAUAGCUGAUUUCCAAACAUUUCAAUCCCAUAAUUCGGCUAUCCAACCCAUCCUUGAGCCUAAUAAUUUCUACUAUGCUCCUUCUCUUGAACCUCCCGAUGACCCAAUGAAUCUCUCUAGACAUCCCAUGCAUAAGAGUCACCAAGACCAUAAGGAGGAUCGAGAAGAGCAACAUCAAUGGCUAGAGGGUAUUAAAAAUCCAUGUGCUAUCACCAUAUUUGAGAUCUCCAAACAUCUCUUCCUUUCUAUUUAUAACAACUUUAAAAGAGUGGUUGUCGAUGCAUAUGUCUAUAAUAAAUAUUGCAGAUCUCCUUGAGUUGAUUGAUGGUUUCCCAAAGACAAGCUUAGUGUCCUAAAACAAGUAUUGAUGAGAUCGUAACAUGAGCUGUUAAUUAUUUGCAACAUUACCUUGUGUAUUGAGCAUAUAAAGAUAAUUGUAGAAAUAUUCCUUCGGGUAUUCGUGUCACUAACCUUUCUAGGAUUGGAGCAAGAAGAUCUGAGGAAUGACAAGCACAAGGUAUGUCCAACCAAUCAUCAUGCAACAUUGAAUUAAAUUCAUCCAAUCUUGAAUUUUGCAAAAUUCAAGCUUGGGGGAGUACUUCACAUGAAAACAUCCUUUGCCAAGUUGCUAUGUUGGUUGUCCCUACCUUUGAGACAUGCUUGAUUUGUUAAAUACUAAUCACACUACUUCAUCUCCACUUGAGUAGAUCUCUAUAAAAGCCAUCAUGCUACCUUUGUUUAUCCUAGUAAGUGUUAGUUUGGAAGUACUAGACAUACUUCCAUUGGCAUUUAAAUUAAGUGUGGUGCUUAGGUUAAAUAGCCUUCCUUAAUCUGAUUAGACAUGGAGUCUAGUUUGGUUACUGAACUAAAAACUGCUUGAGUAGGCAUUGGUAUAUUUUGUCGGACUAACCCCUGCAGGAAAACUUUCAAUAUCAACCUGGGAAGUCCUGAGAUACAAACUCAUAUUGGAGAUAAAGGAGACAAAUGAAAUUUAACGACUUGUACAAGAACGACAUAGCUCAUUCAUCAUAAAGAGAUGAUCCAUGGAGGGUGCCACAAACACGAUGCACAAUCGCUAAGAAAGGGAAGCUUCUACAAGGAGAUACUAUACCAUCACUCUUCAAGUAAGGUAACAUCUUAAAGUACUUGACUAUCACUUUUAUAAGCUUCUCCGUGGUUCUAGCAUACACAUGAAUAAAAGAGACAAACAUGUAUGAUUUGUAGCUCCAAAUUAACCAACUCGAUUAAUUCAACAUGUUUAGUCCUUUAAUCAUUGUUCCUAGUACUACCUUCGUGAUUCCACACUCCUAAUCAUAUAAGCUAAUAUGUUGCACAUUCAAUCUUUGGAAGAUAUAAACAAAACAUAAAUAUAGAUAGAUUAUCUUUCCACUAGGUUGAGCCAUCUGAUCUAACAAAUGCUACAUAUGAUUUUAUUAUCCAUCAACUUUGCCUUGCUCACUAUGCUUGAGGUUAGAGAAGAACAAAUACACUUUUGGUUCUGUUGGUGUUUUCCACCAACAGGGCCCAUGCACUUGAUCUCUGCCUUGUCUCUAUGAAUAGGUACACUUCAAAAAAAAUAUGGAGGAGUUUUACGACUCCCAGACUCCACCAAGUGAAGGACCUGAAUCUACGAGCACAAACACACUGAGCAGGAUAUUGCCAACACCGCACUUCGAACUGCUAAGCAAACGAAGAACAUAGGUGACACUGUAUCAAGAGGUGCAGACGUCAAGGUCCACACCUAAUCAAGUGAUGCACCUAAAAGGAUGAAGACGGUGAGAAGUCUUGUCCAGAAGACUUAAAACAUUGGAUCCUUAUCAGAGGAGGUCAAGAUCGUCGACUCAAGUCACCUUUCCUGAUCAAGAAAGAAGACCCUGGUGUUCCAAGCAUCAAGUGCACAAUCAAUGGAUACUCUUUUCAUCAGACACUCUACGACACCGAAUCUGACGACAACAUAAUGGCCGCAGUCACUUAUCAGCUCAUGCAUGGAACCAUGCCCCUACAACCAAUAUAUAUUCAGCUCCAGAUGAUUUUUAGGUCAUUGACAUGGGAGAAGACAAGUAUGAUCCACCCACGAUCCUUGGGAGACCGUUCCUCAACACUAUCAAAGCCAUCAUCUAUAUUGGAACCGGAGAAGUCCACAUGCACUUCCCUCUGAAGAGGGCGACGCAACCGAAACCAGAGGAGGCAAAUCAUCAAGGACGGAUGGGCAGACUACGAAGGAGAAGUAGUAAGGUCUGAAGACAUACAACUUGAACAGAAUUGUCCCGAGGAGACCGUAGCACCGAGUCAAGUGUGGAGAGAGAAGAUAGUUAUAGCAGUCGGAAUCACUGACUAUGCCAUCCAGCGAAUCCUAGGACGACUGAGAAAACGGAGAAUCCCGUUCGAAGGAUUCAAAAACACCGAACGCCUUGCCAAGAGGUAAACUUGGUAGUUAUCCUUUUUCCUAUUUAAAAUAGUUUGCUUAGUUAAUCAGGUUCCUACUAUCUCGAAAAGAAAAUAAAAAUGUUAAAAAUAGUAAGCCCCAUGUGAGUAUGCUCAUGGCAUAAAACCCAUAGGUACAUUCACUGUGGUGGCAUAAAAUAAAUAUAUUUUCAUCUUACAAUAAAAAUAUAAAUAAUAAGUGCAUGAUCCUGCUAAAUAAAAUUUAUUAGGAGGAAGCUCAAUAUGAUAAAGGCAAAGAGAUUUUAUGCUAACACUUAACCAGUUCCACAAAGCUUUGUUGUCUAUUUGAGCUCCAUAGAAUUCAAGGAUCAAAGAAGACUAGCAGACGGAGGACAUCCUAAUCGUUGUCAGGGUGCUGCCGACUUUCGAAUACAUCACCACCUGCUAGCUACAUCAGAAGAAAUUACGUCAAAAUCCAGCUUGGGGGAGAGUACCCCCAUUUAUCCAGCUAAGUGUUUCUACUCGCGUUUAUACUUUACUCAAAUAAUAAAAAGAUGCAUAAUCAUAAAAAACCCAAAUAAAGAUUUUGUGCUUUUAUAUAUAUCUUUGCUUAGUUUGCUAAAUAAAUAAAUAAAUAAAUAAAGUUUGCUAUGAACCCUUAUGAUAAGCUCUCACAUGGAAAUAAUGAAUAGUUGCUCUACCAUGACUAGUUCUUAAAAUUGAAAUCUCUCUCAAGUUUAGACAUAACUGUUAUAAUUUAAACCUGCUCUAAACCUGAACUUGUGGGAAGAGUACUUGAUCUAAAGUCUAAGUUGUUAAUGGAUAUGAUAUGGGAAGGUUGAGCUGCUGUUUCUCUGUUCCUAGAGAUCCUAGAAUUCUGGAGAAUUUUAUCUUUGAAAAAUCUUUAAAAUAACACAUGAUGAGUUCCUGUAUGAUGAGAGAUUCAAAUCCUACCACAGCCAUAUAUACAUGCUUAUUAGACUUUGAGCCACACAUUUACUUUUUACUGCUUAUGAGCAUUGAGUGUGGUCAAGCUGUGUAGACCCUUAGGAGCUUGUCAUGCGAUUAAAAUCAAGAUUCACUUGCACGUUCACUCAUACAUGCUGCUUCUACUCCGGAAGUACGCAUCCACAUACAUCCACUCAAUUCCAUCUCGAGAGCCACCCUAAAGUGUUCUACUCCUAAUCCGGGAGAGAAUAGCCAAAAAUAUUUUCCUAUCCCUGUUAUUCCCUGUGAAAUAAAUGCUCCAGUUAUUUUGGUUACUACCACUUGCUAUAUUAUUUAAGGAGAUGAGUGCUCUAAAAAAAAGGAAAAAAGAAGAGAAAAAAAUAUAUACGAGGAAAUAAAAAGGGGCAAGUACCCGGGACCUCGAAGAAAAGAAAAAGUGAGACGAGAGGUAAAAAUGGACAAGUGUCCGACGAUAGAAUUAGGGGUACAAGAUACCCACCUGAGAGAAAAAAGAAAAAGAAAAUAUAGAGCAUCUCAUUCUCCCCAAAAAGCUUCAAAGUGCAAAAAAGGUAUGUAUCCCCUAAAAAGAGCAGAAGUAGAAUUAGACUUUCGCCAUUGUUAUCACCAUCAUCACCAUACACCAUUCACUCGCCACACAUGCACAUCUUGAUUUGACUUAUUGACUUGUUUCUCUGGAUCCAUGGUUUGACUAUGCAAUAAAUGUCUUGUAAGUAUGUAUUAGCUGUCUCCCACCUAUGAGCUCCAGAUAUCAAAACCUUAUUAGGGUAGGGUGAGAGAGAAGGCAAUAUCACUAUGCCUCAUACCACAAAUACUACAUACUUUGAGAGAAGGCAUAUACCAUUACUUCCUUGGAAAGGAUCCAGAAAUACCACAAAAGAGAGAUCUGAGAGAGUCAUACAAGGAAUCUCUGAGUUUUAUUUGAAAAUCUGCAAAAACUCCAGAGCUAUAGUUAAUCAAAGAAUAAGAUACACGGCGCUUAACUUGACCAUUCUAUCUUUUAACUACUCAAGACACCAGUGACGGUUACAAGCCCCAUGGUGAAAGGUAAAAUGAGUAAGUUUUAAGUCUUAACAGUUUACUCUAAACUCAGAGAUGAAAUCUUACUUUUAAGGCAUGAAACCACUGCAAAAACUCUUGAGUUCAUCCUUGCUCAGGGAUGAGCAAGAGGUAAGCUUGGGGGAGUUGUUGACGGUCCUUAAGUACCAAAUAUAAUCAUCAAAUAAAUAAAGAAAAGGAUCCAAAUGCAACCAACACCUAGACUUAGGGUUUUAUCUGACAGAAUUCCAUGAGUUUUGGUAUUUGUCUAUUUCUGCAGGGGGUUAUUAGGAAAUAUGGAAGAAAGGCCCACACGUCGGGAUUAAAUAGAGAUAUUAACGUGCCGCGCAAGUAUCUUACAUCUAGAAGACUCCAGAAGCCACGGGAAGGAAGCGGAGGCCGAACGAGGCCAGGCACUGGGCGCCCGCCCAGUUGACCUAGGCGCCCGCCCUCUGUUGGAUUCGAUUCAGAACUCUCUUCGCGGACUAAGCUCCACCGACCUAAAGGAUCAAGGAUAACCGUCCAAUCAAUGUCGGUUUGAUCCAAUGGCUCACGUCCACUUGAGGGGACUAUAAAACCAGACCCCUGGCCCCUGGAGGAGACAAGUUCAUCAUAGAGUCGAGAGGAGCCCUCGAAGGAAUACCUCUCCUCUAAAUAAAAUUUCUUUUAGGCUUAGCAUCCAAUGUGAGUAGGAUUAGAUAUUCUAGUUUCUACUAGAUUGAGAGAUAUAGAGUGGA
rnacentral:lncRNA from 1 species